rnacentral:lncRNA from 1 species
CCUUUUCUCUCUUCUUCUCUCUUAAACUUCGCUUCAACCAGACACUCCCAAUGAGAGCUGUGGCGUUUCUUUUGCUACUAUUGUGCGCCACCUGCCACAUUGCCUUAUCCUUCACCGACGGUAAGUGGCAUUUUCCUGGUUUACCUCCUCUUCUUCUUCUUCUUCUUCUUCUUCUUCUUCUUGAGAGCUGAUGGUGUCUCUGUUCCAAUGUUUUUAUCCUCCGUUGGAUUUGUUUGACUAACUUUAUUUUACGGUUGAGAUUAACGGUUAUUUGUACAUUAUGCAUUGGCACUAGGUUAGGAUCAAUGCUAGCGGUGGCCGGCAGCGCUGCUACUAGCUAGAUAAACUGACCAAAUUAACCCUACCUUUCAUGUCGAAUUCUAGUCUCAGGAAGGGGCUUAAGGGUCAUUUAGAUAGUCAUAAGUUGCAGAGGUUUCUGGCCGAGAUUCAAAAGUUGAGGGGCAAAUAUGCCUUUUUACGCUUCAAUAAUUUGAAUCUCUCGUACUGCUGCGGGGCAGAGGCGGCUCCACAUGCUCUCAGUAUGGAGAGAAAGUCUCAGCCGUCCAUGUGCUCAUAUUAAUGGCUCUGAUAUGAGCUGUGUGGGCCACUAAGUAUCUGUUUACAGUUCAGGUGAAUAGAAGUGUGUUAAAUGACAAUAUUGGCCAUUCUAGUCCCGCCAUAUGGUCGUCGGUCUCACCGUCGUAGCUUUCAGCUUCUAACGGCCUUUGGCCUGCUCGAUAACCGUAACGAAAACAUGGGUGUUAUCCUCCUUUCAAUUCCUUUGUCAAAUGUUUUCAAUUUCUUGCAAAUUUAUUGAAGCUAAAUUCCAAAUAAUACCCACUGGAAAACGCAGGACUAUUACCGAAUGGGAACUUCGAGCUGGGGCCGAAGCCAUCGGACAUGAAGGGAACGGAGGUGAUAGGCCCGCACGCCAUACCGGAAUGGGAAACAUCGGGUUUCAUCGAGUACAUAAAAGCAGGACAAAAACAAGGCGACAUGUUGCUGGUCGUCCCUGAAGGAGCCUUCGCAGUCAGGCUGGGGAACGAGGCUUCCAUAAAACAGAGAGUGAAGGUGAUCAAGGGAAUGUACUAUUCCAUUACCUUUAGUGCCGCCAGAACCUGCGCCCAGGAGGAGCGCUUGAACAUAUCAGUGGCGCCCGACUGGGGAGUCCUGCCUAUGCAAACUCUGUACAGCAGCAACGGCUGGGACUCCUACGCCUGGGCGUUCCAGGCUGAUUACGAUGUGAUCGAGAUCGUCAUACAUAACCCAGGCGUAGAGGAGGAUCCAGCUUGUGGACCGUUGAUCGAUUCCGUUGCUUUCAGGGCUCUGUAUCCUCCCAGACCUUCCAGCAGUGAGUUUUUAUGGUUUGAUUCGUUUGAAUGCAUAUAAGCAUAUUGCAUACUGCAUACACAUUAUUUAUUUUAUUUUUUUAACAUUUGGUACAAGUAUAUAGUAGUUAUGGCACUAUGGUCCCCUGCAUUAGGUCCCCCUCUUAUAUAUUGGACCACUUGUUUCGGAUUGGGGCUCAUCAUAUAACUAUUUGUGGGUAGGUUUGAAGGCCCCGUUUUCCGCUCUGCCUUAUAGGUAUUAGUCAAGGUUUGCUCAAAUCUGUGAAAUACUGUGAAGCCCAAUUAAAUUAUUGGGCUGAUCCGGUUUUGUUUUUUCACUCUUUUUGAUAAGGAACACCUUGUACAUGCAUUAUUGCAUUUCCAGGAGCUGUAAUAUGGUGCUCGAUAUCUCUCAUUUAUAACAUUUCAGACCCUUUUUUGAGGUGGGAUGAUCCCGCUUAUGUCGGGUAAUGGGUCGCCCAAAUAAUGACUCCUAAGGGUGUGAUGUAGAAUGUCAUAAAAGACACCCAUACAGGAAAAUAAUCGGUUUUUAGGUGAAAUGAUCAAAAUUUGGACCUUAGGUUGUCUCUAUGAAUCACACCCAACAAACAAAUUAAUGAGACACAAGUAUAUUUUUCGAGUGGCUAAACCUUCGUAUUCUUUCUUAAUUCAAUCAUCACAUACUUCUUUCAUUAGGGUCAUUUCAAUUUCACAUUUAGACCAAGACCCAUUUAAGACAGACAUAGAAAGUACGAGUCCGACGCCCAGAGAUCACAUUUUGUUAAAUACAUAGACACGAAGUUACCUAUAGGAUAUAGCUAUUGCUUUCAAGAGUUGUGUCAUUUAUUGGCCCAGGACUUAAGUGGUUGGCCCGUUGAAGACCUUGCAAGCAUGGUGACAAAUCGCCUUUAUGAAGUAGGCCAAAGGGUGGCAAAAAUGGCACACAUCUUCUAUGGGUGGAUAUGCAAGAAUCUGAUCAAUUAUGGUCUACUCUAGAAAAAGAAUAAUAAUAAUAAUAAAAGUUUAAGGAUCUAGCUUUUUGGAAUUAUUAAUAUUUUCAUGUCUUGAUCAUGCAGAGAACCUACUGAAAAAUGGUGGGUUUGAAGAGGGCCCAUAUGUGUUCCCCAACACAUCCUGGGGAGUUCUCAUCCCACCCAACAUUGAAGAUGAUCACUCUCCGCUCCCUGGUUGGAUGGUGGAGUCCCUCAAAGCCGUCAAGUACAUCGACUCCGACCACUUCUCCGUGCCGCAGGAGAAACGUGCGGUGGAGCUGGUGGCCGGAAAAGAGAGUGCCAUAGCCCAAGUAGCCAGAACCAUCCCUGGCAAAACAUAUGCGCUCUCAUUCUCAGUAGGAGAUGCCAGCAACUCCUGUGAAGGGUCCAUGGUGGUGGAGGCCUUCGCCGGCAGGGACACCAUCAAGGUGCCAUAUGAAUCAAAGGGCAAAGGAGGCUUCAAGCGGGCUGUUCUCCGUUUUGUAGCGGUAUCCAACCGAACCCGAAUCAUGUUCCUGAGCACAUUCUAUACCAUGAGGAGUGAUGACUAUGCCUCCCUCUGUGGACCUGUUCUUGACGAUGUGAAGCUGCUCAGCCUCCGCACUCCUCCUAGGCACAUCUAAGCCGGCGGCCAGUGUUGAUGCAAAUUAAAGGGGUGGUUUCUGUUUUGAAGCUCUGCAACUCUGCAGAAACAUCAGUUAUACUAGAAGUAUUUUUGCUAUAUGAGAAAGCGAGGUGCACUAGCUUGAGUUCUACUACAAUCUGGAAAAAAUAAAUAAAAAUAAAUAUAUAUAUAUAUAUAUAAAUACUAAUUAAUGUAACAAUAUAUAGUAUAUGGUAGGGUGUGAUUUUAUUAAGUGGUUGUGUACUUUUUUAGAAAAAUAAAUGACAAAAAAGGGAAAAAAAAAAAGAAAAAGAAAAAUUAAAGUUGUUCGUGAUAUUAAGAUCAUAUGUUUGUGUUUGGGUUCAUAAUUGUACUGAUUUUCGAGGUUUGUUUUAAUUUGAGAUACUUAAACAUGGGCAUAGCCCAAUCAUGAAUGAGUCCCAUGCAUGUAUUCAAGUUUGAAUCAAGAAUCUAUGGAUCCUACUUAAUCUACAAAUUGAGUAUUAUAUCUUCACAUUUACAAAUGGGACCAUUCUGACAUUACUUUAGCUGAGAUGCCUACUCAACUCUCUUACUAUUCGGGUGCCCAAAAUCCUAUGGUUGAACGUAGAUGAAAUAUGUGAAUCAGGUGAAAGAUUUCAAAUUGUCGAUCUUCAUGCAAUGAUUCCUGGUGAAGAAAUUACAGAAAAAAAAAAACACAGAUUUAAUGUGAUUCGAUGAAUUGCUUACGUCUACGAGAACAAGGAAGAAAACUUUCACUAUAUGUCAAAUUAGGGUUACAUAAAAUAAUAUUUAUACUAAUCAUCAGAUAAUAAAAUUCCAAAAAUGUCCAUGCAUCGUACACUCCCCUCGUUCCACUCUGUUCUACUUCGACAUUUGUCAUUUUUUUCUCUAUGUGUCUUUCUCUCAAUAUGAACCACAUACUACAACACAAAAAAAUACUCGGGCAAUGCUCAAAGAAGAUAGGAGAAAGAAGAAUACAAAAAUAAAAAUGAAGUAUACUUGGUGUCGUUCUCUUUCUCAUGCUGACUUACAAAAAUUUAAUUUCAAAACAGAGGUCACAUGAUGAUAAUGACACGAGAAUUUGGAGGGGUAGUGGUGAAAUGGGCCGCACAAUUGAUCCUACCCUUUGUAUUGGGCUUCAUUUUGCUGGAUCCAAGUUUGUCCGGAUAAUAUAAUUUCAAUAAACUGAAAUCAGCCCUUAAAGACAAGACCCAAAUUGCCAAGCCCUAAGGCACGGCUGGGUUACUGCCACGUGCAUUGCACGUGGGGUGUAAAAAAUCACAAGAAGAAUGGAAUCGGACGGUGGAGAGAGUCGCGUUAGGUUGAAGCUACCUGAGAGACGCUAAAACCCUCUUAUAGAAACCCUCGCGUUCGUGUUUGUCUCCCUCUUUCUCCUCACACUCUCUCUGCGGACGCAUUUUCACAGGGGUAAAUAUGGUGAGUUUCGUUUUCCUUUAUGUUUGUUUCUCUAGAAAAAUUUAAGGGUAUUUUCUUUUGGUUUAACAAAAAGGAAAAAAAGAAGACUUAUCCAGGACAAAUUGAGCUUUUGAAUCUUGUGAUUUAUGCUGCAUUACUUUCUGUUGAGUUGAGAUUCUGUUCUUCUUAGUCAUCAAAAUGUUAAUUGAUUUUCUCUCGUUGUCCUACCUUUCGCAAGCAAUCAAUCGUAGGAUAAGUUUGGUUCUGUGAUUCGAUCCCGUUCGAUUGAUCUAUUGAUUUUUUUUCUGUCGUAGGCUUUGCCUAAUCAGCAGACUGUUGACUACCCAAGUUUCAAGCUUGUAAUCGUCGGGGAUGGUGGAACAGGUGAUCACAAUAAAAAUUAUAUUCUUUGUUCUUCGCUGUGUUCGGUCGCUGAGAAGACCGAGGAAAAACGAAGACUUCGUUUUUUUCUUUUUUCCUUUUCAUUAUCUGGGACUUGAUGGAACAAAAACUUCCCGUCUUAAUCAAUGCAACUAUUUUGCUCGAUCGAGUUCCUUUUUUUUUUUUGCCUUUUCCUUUUCUUUAAAAAUGAAAUGCAAUGAAACAUAUUCGAAAAUUUCUUUUCCCUUUUUUCUUUCAUUCAGAAGUCAAAUACAGGGUUCGGGAUUUGAUUUUCUAUUGCCUGUAGUUAAUAUAGAACCUCACUGUAUCCAAGUUUAUUUUCCCCAUUUUGUGCAAUUGGGGUUUUCGUUGGGGUUCUUGUGAUUAUAAAACUGUAGAGCUUAUAUGGAAAAGGGAUCAAAGCCUUGGAACUCAUUUUAUGUUGUGGAAUUUAAUGCACUUUAUUUACAGUGAUUUUGCUAAUCUGAAAGUGGUUUGCCAAUGCAGGAAAAACAACAUUUGUUAAAAGACAUCUUACAGGCGAGUUUGAGAAAAAAUAUGAACGUAAGUUUGGAGAAAAUGUUAUGCUCUAAGUUUUCUAUCUUGUAUUUACUUAUCGGACUGUUUGUGAAGAUUUUCAAAGUGCCCUUCAGGCCUUAAUAGCCCAAAUGAGAGGAAUAUUCUAUUCCCAAAGCAAAAGAAAAUAGUAUAUUCUGAAUGCAAACUAAUUUUGUUUUCCUUUUUCUUUUUUAAUCAUGAUAGCAACCAUUGGUGUGGAAGUUCAUCCGCUGGAUUUCUUCACAAACUGUGGUAAGAUUAGAUUCUAUUGCUGGGACACUGCUGGGCAGGAGAAGUUUGGUGGUCUUAGAGAUGGAUAUUAGUAAGUAAUUUUACAAAUUGGUGUUGCUAGCUCAUUUUUUUACUAAAUUUUUUCUGUCCUGAACAUGUAUUUGUAUUUAAUAUAUUUGACAAUUUGAUGUUCAUAUUCAUUGCAUCACAAUAUUGUAUGUAUGAAAUCUUUUUCUUUGGUUGGCUGGUUUUUUCAAUUUGUGCUUUUGACCUUCAUACUGUUGUUAGAAUUUUGAUUAGAAUUGAAGGAUUCUUUGUUCUAUUAUAACCAUCUUAAUAUUUUUUUUUGGUGUUGCUCAUGGUGUUCUUCGCUUACAGUUGGUUGAAAUUGUUUUUCUAACUCAUUGGUGAAUGUUCAUGUGUUUAUUGAAUGUGCAUGAAGCAAUCGGAAGUUAGAAACUGUUUUUUCAUAUGAUUUCUGAUUGAUGCUAAUUUGGUAUAUUUUAGGCUUCCACAUUUGAUACCGUCGGUUUGGGUUAUUUGUUUCAUUUUAUCUUGCUGUAGAAGUUAUUGGUGAAAAAAAUGGAGAUAAGUGGUUUAUAAAACAAUUUGUAAUCAAGUGGUUUGUUUUCUUUUGAAUUGGACUACCAUGUUUGUUUGGGUGAAUUAAAAGAUUAUAUUUUUUAAGGCAGGUUGUAAUUUCAGUUUGACUGCCCAAGUUGUAUUAUUGAUAAAAUCAAUUUUAAAGGUGUGUUUCAAAUUGCUUAAAAGGUCAAGUAAAAUUUUACUUUUUGACUUCAUAAAUGUCAAAAGAAAUAUAAAUAUAAACUCUGCAUUUUGGAUAUAAUAAUUAUGGACAUUUUAGACCUGGAGGCUAGUAUAUGAUGAUGAUAUGUAUCGGUUAGGGUGUUGUUGUGGUUUGGUUGUUUUCAGGGUGGUGUUGGUAUUUGGCCCUCUUCUCUCCAUUGCCAGCCUUUUGGUGUGUACUUUCUUGCACCUCUUUGAUGGCGCUUUUUAAUAUAUUCUGUCAUUUACCUAUCAAAAAAAAAAAGAAAGAGAUGUGUAUUGAAAUCAUCAAUUAUCCAAUUAUAUCAGUUGUCAUCAAUUGCUUAUUGAAGUCAUGUUUCAGACUUUCUGCAUUUGAAGCUGAUACAUAUCAAAAUUAUCAUUUUAUAUUGCAAUUUGCCCUUGGCCAUCCAACUCUCUGUAGCCCUUCUUAUCCACUGCAAAAUCUAAAUAUCUAGCUCUUCAAGGCCCAUUAUCAAUUCAUAGUGCAAUUCUCAAUCCGCUCUGUUCAUCCAAACAUGAAAUGUCUGUAUAAUGUCAAUUUAUAUACAGACUUUGAGCCACAUGCUUCCUUUAGAUCAUUUUGUGCUAAAUAAUAGAAAUUUGGUAUUGUUCAUGCUUCACAUUGUUUUUCAGAUUUCACCUUUUUUGAGGAUCACAGCCUUUUCAAGCAAUUUGCUAAAUUUUUGUUUAAUGUGCAGCAUCCAUGGGCAAUGUGCCAUUAUCAUGUUUGAUGUUACUGCUCGCUUGACAUACAAGAAUGUUCCAACAUGGCACCGUGAUCUUUGCCGGUGUGUACAGGAAUCCUGAUUUCCUAAAUCUUAGCAAUUAUCCAUUAGUGAAGACUUAUUCUGAGCCUUAAAUCUUAUGAAGAAUUUUCUGGUUUACCAAUUACAGGGUUUGUGAAAAUAUCCCCAUUGUGCUUUGUGGUAACAAGGUUGAUGUCAAGAACAGGCAGGUGAAGGCAAAGCAGGUUACUUUCCACCGGAAGAAGAAUUUGCAGUAUUAUGAGAUAUCAGCUAAGAGCAAUUAUAAUUUUGAGAAGCCUUUUCUCUACCUCGCCAGGAAACUUGCUGGGUAAGGAAGGACUGCACUAUAAUUCCUUUAUUUUCAUAUAUUUCCAAGUAUGGAGCUUAAGGUAAUCAUCACCAAAAUCGGUGUUGUGGUGGCAGGGAUCCUAAUUUGCAUUUUGUCGAGUCUCCUGCUCUAGCUCCUCCGGAAGUUCACAUCGACUUGGCUGCACAGCAACAGUAAGCAUUUUGUGACAACCAGAACUAUCUCUUCUCAUUGUCUCUCACUCUCAAAUGCACACACAAGCACAUACGUGCUCCAGCCAGCUCUGUUUGGGAAGUGUUUUUAAGAACAGUUUUUGGAAAAUGUUUUCUUAUAUUUUGUAGAAUAAAAGUUUGUUUGCGAACCUGAAAUAUUUAAAACCUAUUUUCUAUGUUUUUUAAAUAUGUUCUAAAAGAUGUUCUCUAAAAAUAUAUUAUUUUUUGCUUUUGGGUUGUUAAUCGUGUUUUCUUACUUUUUUGUUCUUUAUAAUAAAAAACUGUUUUAAAAAACAGCUCCGAAACAAGGACUAGAUUUCUAAGUGGCCACUGGUUACAUGAUUAGUGUUUUCUUACUUUUUUGUUCUUUAUAAUAAAAAACUGUUUUAAAAAACAGCUCCGAAACAAGGACUAGAUUUCUAAGUGGCCACUGGUUACAUGAUGAACGACUAUUGUAAAACUGUGGUUUGGUUCUGAAUCAUGUGGUGGUUUUUGGCAGGCAUGAGGCUGAACUUGCUGCAGCUGCUAGUCAACCCCUUCCAGAUGACGAUGAUGAUGCGUUUGAAUAGAUGGAGGGUUGUUCCCUGUUGUCCAAUGUCUUCCCAAUUUUUCUCCCAUACAUUUAGGACUUGGUAGUUUUUUUCCCCUUUUUUUGGGCUUUUUUUGUUUCUCCCUAUAUUUUUCUCUUGUGGUGAGAUUUGAGGUGGGUGGGGUUUUUCAAUUUUUGGUUUGGUAUUGUGAGAUUUAUGCUGGUGUUUUGUGUAUGACAAAGAUUACAUAUUUGAAAUUAUGUGGACUUGCGAAUGCCCCUUUUCCCUUUUCCUUUCUAUAUAUAUCUUCGCAUAUGUGAGGCUUGUCUAUUAAUAGUAAAUUAAGUUAUUUGAUUAGAAGGGUAUUUCAAAACUCAAUUUUAAAAAUUAAUUUUUUAUACCUUAUUUUGAUAAAAAUGAUUUUAUUUUUUUCUUGUAAAAAUAACUUUUUAUUAAAAGCCUAAAGGUAUUUAUGUUCAAAAUGGGUUAUUUAUAAAAAGAAAGUGGGAUGAUUAAAUUCUUAAAUUUGAAGAUUAUUUUAUCAUUUUUAAAUAAUUAAUUCGAAUAAAUUUGUAUAUAUAUAUAUAAUAAAAAUUUGAUUUAUUUAAAUAUUUAUAAGAGUAGACUUCGGUUUAUUUUAUAAUUCAUUUUAAUUAAAACAUUAUCAAAUUUUUAUUGAUUUAUUUUAAAUAUUUAUAAUUAGUAAAUUUUGUUAAUUUAUAAUUAAAUUUAACUAAAAUGUUAUUAUUCAAAUAAUAAUAAUAUUUUCAUAUUUUAUAAUAUUCACUAGAAUAAUGCCAUUUUGUUACAAUAAUAAUUAUUGCUAUUUUAUAAAAUCAAAGAAAAUUGUAAUUACAAAACUAUUUGUUAUAUUUUCUUGAUUUUAUUUUAAUAUUAAUAUAAUUUUGGAAUAAAAAUUACUUAUUUAAAAAGGUUUUAAAAUAUCUUGUUGAAUCGUUCCACCUAUUUAUCAAAGUAGGAUGGAUAUACAGCAAUUCAUUUCUUUAUUUAAAUAUGAAAUAUGUCCAUAUAAAUAUAAAUAUUUUUUUCAAAAUUCAAAUAUCUAUUCGUUGGAUUUAAAUGUAAGAAAUGCUAUUAUGAAAAGGGCAAAAUGGGAAGGGACAGAAAUAUAGGUCGGCGCGUGGCUUGGUGCAAAGUGUAGGGCUGAGAUAGAAGCGCCGGUUUAAAGCGGGAUCUAAUCCAACGGUUGAGAGAAAUAGCGUCCAUCAAAGGCUAUAAUGAAAACACGCGGCGCCUACUUAUAUAUAUACGGCUAAAACUCCUACUACCACCGCAUUCAAAACUCAAACCUUCUUUCCAAAGCGCUCCUUGGCGGCUUCCAUACGAGAAACUCACGCUCACCCUCCAGAUGGUUUCCCCUCUCUCUCUCUCUCUCUCUGCCUGUUUGGCUGCUUUGAAAGAACAAGGAUUCGGGAUUUUCUUUUCCAUCUUCUCCCGUUUCUCAGCAACCAAACACCUUUUUUAGUCUAGACGUGUUUUUCUGAUCCGUUUUCUUUCUUCUACAGGCGCUUCCAAAUCAGCAAACUGUGGAUUACCCUAGCUUCAAGCUCGUGAUUGUCGGUGAUGGCGGAACAGGUGCACCAUUCGUUUUUUUCCUCUCUCUCUCUAUAAAAUAAAUAAAUAAACCUCGCUUCUUUUCUGCACUGGUUUCUGUUAUUUAGAUCUGAUUUUUAAAGUCCAAAACCCUAACUUUCUUUGAUUACUGUAAAAACUGCGGAAAAGAAAAGGAGAGGGGAUUUUACUUUUCUUUUCUUUUCCUAUGUUUUUUCAGCAACCAAACGGACGGUUCAAAAUGUCUACAUUUCCUGUAAAUUUUGGAAAAUUUAUUUUAAUUGUAAUGGUUGUUUGGAUUUAUGUGCAGGAAAGACUACAUUUGUGAAACGGCAUCUCACUGGAGAGUUUGAGAAGAAAUAUGAGCGUGAGAACUCUUAUGUUAAUAGAUUUAGUUUCUACAGCAAUGCAAUUUUUAUGGAUGAAUUAAGAUGUUGAUGUUUGUUGUGAAAUUGCGAAUUACAGCAACCAUUGGUGUGGAAGUUCACCCAUUGGACUUCUUCACAAACUGUGGAAAGAUCAGGUUCUAUUGCUGGGAUACAGCUGGGCAGGAAAAAUUCGGUGGGCUCAGAGAUGGAUACUAGUAUGUGUUAUCUUACUUGAGCAAUGAUGAAAUAGAUCAUUAACUCAUUAUUCUUUUGAUAUCUAGUGUUUUACUUUUAUUGUAUUUCCCUAAUCCAGUGGUUUCAAGGGUUAUCGCAUCUUUCAAUGUUGAUACUGCUCUCUCUCAUAUGUUUCACAUUGUGGCUCAUUAUUUGUACGUCUGUUAAAAUUUUGUAAUAUUUUUAAAUGGCGAAAUUUUAAUGUUUUCUCUCCUUCCAGUGUUUGAAAAGCAUAUCCUUGAAAUCAUGGUUGAAAAUCUGGAGUUGCUGUUGUUCUUGCAACAUAAUAGUUAACUUGUUUGGAUGCCUUUGCUCAUGUCCCUUCGGUCAUGUCAUGUAAACUCUUUCAUUAAAGUUCCUAUUGGAGAGUUCUUUUUUUUUUUUGUCAUAUGCGGCAGUGUGUUCUUACAAUCUCAUUAAUGGACAGCCUCCUCGAUCAGUACAAGCACAAAGAAUUUCUUUUUGCUGGUUUUGUUUUUGACUGAAACAAACAAAAGCCUUUCAAUAGUUUGAAGUCAGAGAAGGCGCCUUUCAAUUUCUCAAUGUUUGAUAGGCAAUACCAUAAUAGAAUGUUACUUUUUCUUCCUUGAUUCUAUACUUCUAUCAUGCUCUGAGAAUACAUUAAACUGAAAUUAAACAACAGUAUCUCUGUCAUGUCUCUGAUUGUGAUGGAAGAUCCUGAUGUUGAUGUAGAGAUUUAAAAUUGAUUUUUGAUGUGUAGUUCUAUGAUUCCAUUAUGAGAUCAAAGGUUCCAAUAAUUUGUCUUACAUAAAAGGUUGGGACUUUCAAGGAUGAUAUGCAACCAUAUCCCUACAUUUGAUUGUAAUAGAAGAUCCUGAUGUUGGCAUAGAGAUUUAUAACUUAUUUGUGGUCUAUAUUUCUAUGAUUGCAAUGUGAGACUCAAAGGUUCAUUCCAUUUUGUUGUGUUAUAUGUUGGACAUGAUUUUAGUUUGUUAUGUCCUCAGUUUUAUUUGUUGAUCACUGGAGGUGCCAUGUGACACCUAACAGAAAUGUAUUCAAAUUCUGAAAAGGAAACAAGUGAACUCUAUAUAGGGAAUCCUACUGCAAGGGAAUAUUUUUCUUUACGGCUUUCUAAGAUAUGUUUGUUAAAAAGUUGAAUUCCUUUCAAGUUAAAAAUCUUUUGUUCAUCAAAACUCAACUGGGAGAAUUUUCCGAUGUUCUAUUGAAAUUGUUAUUUUUUUUCUUUACGUACCUGUUACCUGUGAGUUCAUGAUCGCUUCUGCAUGGUGCUUGAUGUUACAAAGUUUAUAUGUCAAUACAUACAUGUUCCAAGCCUUCUAUGUCUUUGUAUGUUCCCCACUUAUCAGGAGUUGGUCUCAUGUUUAUUGCAUGUGCUUUUUUGCCUUUAAAAUCUUAUCAUGCUUCUAAGUGGUAAUAUUUGAUUUUCUGUUUGUGCAGUAUUCAUGGACAGUGUGCCAUCAUCAUGUUUGAUGUCACUGCUCGUCUGACAUACAAAAAUGUUCCAACAUGGCAUCGGGAUCUCUGCAGGUGCACAAAUGGAGCCAUUCUUUUCUUUUUCCUCCUCCUCCUUCUCCUCAUCAAAACUGCCAUCACUUGCCUUCUAUUUUCUCCUAUAUUCUGUGGUGGUAGUGUUCUUACUGGCAAUUAUUUCUGCUGUAUUUAGGGUGUGCGAGAAUAUUCCAAUUGUUUUAUGUGGAAACAAGGUGGAUGUGAAAAAUAGGCAGGUCAAAGCAAAGCAGGUUACUUUCCACAGGAAAAAGAAUCUCCAGUACUAUGAAAUUUCUGCAAAGAGCAAUUAUAACUUUGAGAAGCCCUUCUUGUACCUUGCUCGAAAACUUGCAGGGUAAUUUUUUUGAAACCUUUUCUAAUUAUUGCUUUCAUACCAGUUUGGGCUUAGUGCCUUGAUGCUUUUGUUUUCCCUUUUGGCUAAGACCAUACUUGGUUUAUUGCUGCCUGCAGAGAUGUCAAUCUCCACUUUGUUGAGUCACCUGCUCUUGCUCCUCCUGAAGUUCAAAUUGAUAUGGCUGCACAAGCUCAGUAAGUGAUUCAUACCAUUUUUCUUUUAUGAAACAGUCCUUGUGAACCUUCUUACCUGCUAGAUCCACUGAGAGAAAAAACUUCUAAAUGUAAAUUUUUGCUGUCAGUAUGUGGGUGAUAAUCAUGCCUUGAAAUUACUUGAGGAAAACACAAUAACAUAUUAGUAGCUUGGUGGUUUGUUGAUGACCGCAUAAAUCCAAUUCAAGAAAUUAUGUUGUAGCUUAAGAUUAUCUGGGGAAUUUCUAACUAUUGGAAGCAAUAAUCCAUCUUUAAACACAUUGGCCAUUUGGGUUAGAGUUUUGAUUUUGAUAUUGUACCCUACCAAGACUACCAGCAUCACUGCCAUAGAUUAUGAAAAAAUUUCCAGCUAAUAUGCAAUAUUUAGCAAUUUUUUUAUGGAGUUACGUGGAAAUUUCUUGCUAAGACUAACUAUUUUGGUGAUUUUGUUUCAGCCAUGAAGCAGAGUUGGCAGCAGCCGCAGCACAACCACUUCCUGAUGAUGAUGAUGACACGUUUGAGUAGUGGGGAUUUGGCCGCCCAAGCUUGUGUUUGCUUGUCUCGCCAAACAAAAAUGAGAGAAACUGUUGCGAUGUUUGCUAUUAUUGCCCAUCAACAUGUUUUGGUUGAGAAUUUGUUCCUGCAAUGUGCCUCAGUUUUCCAGUUGAAAUCGAAGGGUGGGGGGUUGUACUAUGAUGAGAUUCAAUGUCCAGCUUCUUCAUUUAGAUAUCUAGAAUCUUGUUUUUCAUUUCAUGCAUGUUGAAUGUCAGGGCGGAGGUGUACUGUCUUGCUUGCUCCUCUAGUUCUGAAGUUAGAAAGGAGUUUUCUUACUUUUCCUUUCAUCAUUUGGUGUUAUUGUCCAAUAUCCCUUUCAUCAUUUUUAGCAUUAUCAUCAUCUCCAUCGUUGGUUCUUUUUACUCUUAAACCAUCAUAACCAAAAUCCUAAAAUUAUAAUUUUAAAAAAUCACAAACAAAAUUGAAGCAAUAUAACAUUAAGAAGCUUUCAAUUGAAUUGUAUAUAAACCAAAAUGAAAAUUAGGUAUCUAUAGAAAAAAUUCUGAUCAAACAAACCCUUGAAUGAUCAUAAAGCCAUUAUAAUUCAAUUCUACCUGUUGGAUCAAAGUUUGGUUGAAAUCUUAUGGUUAUAUCUUCAUCUAACAGUAGGAAGCACUUCCCUACAUAUGGAUUGAAUUUAAAACACAUGGAAAAAUUUUCAACCAUUGGAUCAAGUUAUUGAAGAUGAUAGAAAUAAUUGUAUAUCCCAAAAAAAUCGCCAAACUACCAGCCCAUCUUUUGUUGACUUGUGUGAGAAAUUUUCUAACAUUUUGGUCCAAGAUAAUUGAUGAAAAUAUCAACAAUCAUAGAUAUAUCCAUACUUUAAUUUUACGGAUAUAUUAGAGAUAUAUCAAUAGAUAUUUUAAAAAAAGAAAUUCGAUAAACCAUGAUCAAAACUCAUAUAAAUAUAAGAAAAAUAUUAUAACAAUGUAAUUAGAAAUAUAAUAGACAUUUUAAAAUUGUUUUAUUGAAAAAUUUGAUAUAUGUAUGAUAUAAUUUAUUAUAUUUGAUAAUAAUAUCAUAUGAAUUAAUAAAAAAAAUAUGAAUUUUGUAAAUGUGCAUUUAUUAUUAAAUUACAUCAAAUAUUAUUUCAUAAUAAUAUUAUGAUAUUAAUUAUAAUAUGUCUAAUUUUAAAAUUUAUUUAAUAUUAAAACAAUGAUUCAUUUAAUUCAAUUGUAUUAAAUGAAAUAAAAUAAAUGAUAAUAUAUGUAUAUUUUUUUAAAAAAAAUAUUUAUAUUCCUUAUAUUUAAUUAAUAUAUAAAUAAUAUUAAAAAAAAAAAGCUCAAGAAAAUUAUCACCAUAAUUUUUAUAUUUUUAGUGUUCAAUUAAAUUAAAUUAAAUUUAAAAAUAAAAUAAUUAAAACUAAUUUGUUUAUUAUAACAUUUUGUUUUUAUCAGUGUUGGUAUAUAUUAAUUCUAGUGCACAUCAUGUUAUGAGUAGCCAGGCAGCCCAAUGGUGAGUGGGGGUCUCUAAAGGCUUGUUUGGGCAGCUGCAAUUCAAAAUUUGAAUUCUCUUCAUUUGAAUUUUGACCGGGCAGCCCCUAAAGAAUCUUUAGAUCAACGCAGGGAAGCUCAAAGCCGUCGGAUCAGCGGACCAAGGAAGUAGGGAUAGAGCGCCGUUUUCACAAAAAAAAAAAUAAUAAUAAUAAAAUUGCCCAUAAAUCGCCAAAUUUUCACAAGAAAUUUUGACGAAAUUUCAUCCAUUUUUUCCGAAAUUUUGAUCUAUGACGGUAACCAUGGAGGAAAAUAUCGGGAUAUAUCGGCGAUAUAUCGCCGAUAUAUCGUGUAUCGGGAGGAGUCGACACGAUAUUUCAUGGAGAAAAAUCGAAGAGAAGAUAUUUCCGUAAAUAUCGUCAAAAUAUCGGCGAUAUAUCGCCGAUAUAUCGGUUCGGGGAGAUAUAUCGAAGAUUUUUUCAAAAAAUCUCCUCUGGUGGCAAAAAAUCGGUGAUAUAUCGGUGAUAUAUCGGAGAUAUAUCGGUGAUAUAUCACUGAUUUUUUGGUGAUAUUUCCCCUCCUUCAUGCAACAUGAUCUGACGGCUCAGAUCACGCCUGUAUUGAUCCGACGGUCUAGAUGUGAUUCCAAUGGUAAUAUGGCGAUCCAACGGCCCGAUUGCUCCCAGUUUUUUAUCCAACGGCUAAAAUUGAUUUUCAACAGUAAAUUAAUGUUCCAACGGCUAUUUUGGCCCAAAUUUCUUCUAUAAAUAACCCAAAUUUCAUCUAUUUCAUCCAUUUUUGCUUUCAUUCUUCAUUUGCUCUCUCAUUACUCCAAUUUUUAUUAAGGUUGCUCAAUUAUUUAAUUAUUUUAAGGUAUAUUUGUUUUAAAUUAUAAUUAAUUUUAUUUGCAAUUGUAAUUAAUUCAUGUAUUUUCAAUUAAUUAGUAUGUUUGCAAUAUGGAUGAUUUAAUGCUAUUUUUACAUUCAAUUGUAAUUAAUUUUUAUAUUUUUAUUGAAUUAACUUAGGUUGAUUUGAUUAUUUAAUUAUAAAUUGAUAUGUUUAUUUUAGAUGAUUAUUUGUGAUUUAUUUUCACAUUUAGAAUUAAAUUAAACUAGUUAACUUAGCUAAAUUAUUUAAUUAAUUUAAUUAACAUGAAAUAGUAUAUUUUGAAUAUGAAAUAUGUUUAUUUAAUGAAUUUAAUGUGUACAAAUUAUUGAUAUUUAAUUAAAUGAAAUAUUUUAUGUGACUUUAUAAUGAGAACAAUUACAAAAUUAACAUUUCUUAUAGAUCGACAUGAUGUAAUUACAUCUAAUAUCGCAAAUUAUAUCAUAUAUAUAUCAAAUUUUUCAAUAAAACAACUUUAAAAUGUCAAUUAUACUUCUAAUUAUAUUAUUAUGAGGUUUUUCUUGCAUUUCCAUGAGUUUUUAACAAUUUUAAGUCUACCGAUAUUUUUUUCCAGAAUAUCCGCCGAUAUAUCUCCGAUAUAUCCGAUAUAUCCGUAAAAUCGAAGUACCGAUAUAUCCGUGAUUACCGAUAUUUUCUUCCAUGACGGUAACAACCAUGGGUUUGUUAUAUCCUCCUUUAUGUGAUUAUUUUAAAUUUUUUUGUCAAAUUCAAAUCUUAUUAAAAAAUUACGUUUAUUUUUUUUUUACUAAAGGCAAUUUUAAUAACCAUGGUUACAAGGCAAAAUUACAUAAUGCCCAAUCAUGAGGUAAUUCAAAUCUGAUAAAAAAAAUUAUGUUUAUUUUUUCAUUUUUAAAUUAUCUUUAUCUUAUUAAAUUACUUUUAAAUUUGAUUUAAAUAAUUUAUUAAAAGUAUUUCAUAAUAAACACACUGACGAUGUUUCCUUUACGUAUUUUACAAAUUACAAACUGCAAAUCUUUAAGCUUUAUAAAAAUUAACAAAGCAUUUCUUAGAUUUUCGUUUUCGUUGCUCUAAGCUUCAGUUUUUCAUAUAUAUAUAUAUAUAUAUAUAUAUAUAUAUAUAUAUAUAUAUAUAUAUAUAUAUAUAUAUAUAUAUUAAUUUAUAAAAUAAUAAUACGAAAAAAUUAAAUUGAAAAAAAAAAAAAACAGAGGAUAGUUUUGUCACUAACCCACAUGCAGGACAUUUUUUUAUUAAGAAACCUUGAAAUGGGCGUCACAACUCUUCCCAAUUGCCGUCCCAUGUAAGUGCGUCAGAGAUGGAAAAUACAGCCGGACAAUAUGAAGCUCGCAAUUUCCACAAAUAGUAAAUGAUAACAGAGUCAAAUGCAGUCUACCCACCAAUGCCUUCCAAAACCCAGGGAAAAAAAAGAAACUAGAAAAGAUAAAAUCCAGACUAAACAACAUGUAACAGAUCAAAAACAGUUAAAGAGGGCUGAAUAUACCACCGGUCUCACAAGACUUAAGGCAUCGAGGGAUCUCCUCUUCAUGGUCAUUCCUCAAUAAUAGGAUAGAGGUGCAGCAACUCAUCUAUUACCAAGUCUUCAAUGAACCAAUAAUAGCCUCAAGGUUUUCUUCUUAUGGCAAAUUUUCCAGAAAAGUAUCAUCAGAAUCACAAAUACAAAAACCUUGUGCUUAAUCAUCUGACCAAUUGUCAUUGACUGAUCCAAUGGAAUUGCCUUUCAGGUUUUUCAUGAUCACUACAAUUUGAAAGUAUCACCUCUGCCCCAACCUUGUAAAUACGUGUCUCAAGGUCCUCUUUCACCCUGUUCAACCACUAAAAAUGGUUACCUAUAGAGCAGUAACAACAGUAAAUAAAAGAAACAAAUUAUGAAAGAAAAAAAUGAAAGAGUGAGCCAUUUAUAAAUUGUCUUACAAAAAUCAAAAUAGACCAUAAGAACUAUUCAGGGUUCUUAGCAGACAGAACUUUACCAAUUAACUAGGAAGGAGGUCAAGCUUUUUGAGAAUCAAAAAACAUAUGAUCCUGUUGAAUCUGAAUAAUUCAGAUCCUAGCAAAACAAAAAAAUAAAAAAACAAACAAAAAGGAGAAAAGAAAAGAAAAGAGGAAGCAUUAAAAUGUGAUCACAUUUCAAGUAGGUGAAACUACUAAAUAAAAAUUGUAACCAUUUUCUGUCACAUAUAUAUAUUUGAUAACGCGCACCUCAACUAAUCCCAUGGAGCCCUGAAGCUAACGACCAGACAAUCCUCCAGUGGCCCUGAGGGGACUCGAACUCGUGACCAUUGGGGAGCAAACCCAAGACCGGACCAACUGAGCUAUCCCUCAGGGUUCAUUUUCUGUCAUAUAUCACACAAGGUUGGUUUAACCGCAAGCAGGAGAAAAUAUCUAGUGGUAGUAUACAUUUUAUCCAUUACACUCAGAGGCAUCAAUCCAUCUCUACAAAACAAAUUUUAGAUGCAACAAAUAAAAUGAAUUGAAAUCCUAUAAAUAAUAUAAUAAUAAAAGGGAAAAGAACAUAACAAAAAGGAAAAGAAUACAAAUCACCAUAGUGGAAAGAAUACAAAUAACCAAAGGGAAGAUGAACCAUAAUCAACCUACUGCAGCAACUACCCCACAGCCAAUUCCUUCCGACCCAAUAAAUAAAUAAAUAUUGUAUAGUAAGUUGCAUGUAAGAAAAGAUACAAAUGUGAGGCCUGAUAUUGUGAUAUAUAACAAAAUGGUAAAAAGCAUGAAGAUCCUGUGUAAUAUGAUUGUUUGGAGAAAACACUAAUAAUUCCACAAAAACUGGUUGAAAUUAUGUAAAUUCUACAUCAUAGAGACAAGAAAAUUGCACACAAUCUAGGCAACCUUGGUAUUGUUUUUUAACAUGAUUAACAAGCCUGUAGUGACAUUCUUUCAGACACCAGCCAAUAGGUACUAUGACUUAGAUUAACCACUCAGCAGUUUGCUUCACUUCCCCCAAAAAAUUAUGAAGUAAAGAAAUAUCCCUCAACCAAAACUUAGGCACUGAGCAGCUUCUUCCCUAGAUGACUACAAGGAACUUACUUAGCCCCCACAAAACCAGCUAUCCCAGGCAAUGUUUUUCCCCUCUUUUGUAAAUUUCCUCAUUCAAGGAUAAAGUGAGUUCCUGAAUCAAUUUUAAAAUUGUAUGGUCAUCCCCUCAUAACACAUCCCAGGGAAUUCAAUAGUUCUUGGGUAAAUAUCACAGAUAUUGUACUUUUCUUGAUUAGGUUGUGAAAUUUCUAAAUUAAUCUACACAUUUUGAAUGAUUAUAUACUCCAAUGGCAUGCAUAGCUAUUUUUUUAAUAGGUAACAUUUUCUUUUUCCUAUGGAAUCAAACCUGGAACCUUCCCAUAUCCCUAUUGCAACCACUUGCUACUUGAGAAUAAGUUGCAUAGCUAUUCUCACCCUGGGUUUCAAUCUUGAAUUUCCCAAUGUGUUCCAUCUGUCAGAACAAAAACAAACAUCCUCCCUCCCUCAUCUAAUCAUCACAAACACCCACAAAUUAAAGGGUGUUUUACUGAGUGUAUUAACACUGAGUUCUGACAAGCAAAGAAAACAUUAAAUGUUAUAAUAGUAUGGGCCAAGACACAAAUAAACAGAAAACAGGGACAAUGCAAGAAAUACUGAAAAUUGUUUAGAACUCCCCAAAGCAAUUGUGAAUAUGGAUUUUAACAAGUUAGGACGACAGUACAGGAUUUUUUUUCCUUUUCUAUUCUUCUCACUAACAUAUACAGUUGGUAUAAGGAUUCUCAUAGCAUAUCUUUCAUAUGAUCAUGACUUACAUCUCAUAACAGAAAAAAUAAAUAAAUAAAGGUAAAAAAACAUGCUUAAUAUAAUCUUCACCAUUUACAUUUUUAUUUUCUAUGCUAUUUCUGUAUAACUACAUGAAUUCCAAAACUGCAUAUCUGACUUGGUGAGUCAGAGAUUCUUAAAUUUCAAGAACAACAAACUUUGAACCAAUAUGCAAAAGGACUUCACAUAAGUGAACUUGCAAUUAAUUUAAGCAUCCUAGUUGGGGGCAUUUAAAGAAAUGAGGUUGCUAUUCAGUUUACCUCACAUUCUGGUUGUGGGGUGGGGUGGAUGGGCCUCCACCGUUUUAUCUUCAAUAGCAGUUAAGUUCCUCUCGUAAGGACGGAGUUGUGGGUGACAGCUUAAAAGUAAUCAAGUUGAAAGAAAUUGAAGAGAUGGAAGAAGAUUUUUAUCUUAAAUGUAGGGGAAACUGAUUCUCAACCAAGAUACAAUUUAUUGUUCAUGACCUUUUUCAUGUUUGAUUUGCAUUUUACACCUUUCCUUGUCUCAAUGGCUGCAAGAUAUAAAGGCUUUUGAGGAAUCUUAUAUUGGAUGGCCCAAUUUAUUGUUCCAAUAUCUUCUGGCUGAUCCUAGGUCCAUGUCUACUUAUGGAGAAAAGUAGGGUUUGGCAUUUGAGAUUUGUUGAUUGUGAAAUAAGCACCUAAGGAACUCUUUUUUAAAUUUUAAUAUUUGAUAGUAAGGAAUAUUGAUGGGAUUUUUGUAUGAUACAAAAGUCUCACUCCUGUUCUUUAUUUCUUAAGCUUGGUCCCGCUUUCUUAAGCUCACUUGCUCACCAUCCUCUGUCCUCAAGUCCAACCCAACCCAACCCCGUGCAGCAACCAACACCACCCCCCCAAACCCCAAAGACCCCAACACUGACCCACCCAUUGGCCCACCCCUUCCCUCUCAAAAACCUAUCCUUCACUCUCUCCCCCUUCCCCUUUUAGUUAUAUAUAAGUUCGUUCAAAUGCAGGAAAAUACGAAUUUAGAUUAUUUUACCAAACUUGUUCUUCGAUAGGCAAUUUUUUUUUUCCUUUUUGGUACCUGUUGGGACUUUAACCUAGAACCUCCCACAACCUCGCCUCCACCCUUUACCGCUUGAGUUAGGCCUCAAAGACUAGACUAUUUUAAUAAACUUAUUAUGAUUUUGUCUCUCUUCAUUUUCAUAGUUUCAAGAAUAAAUUGGUUUGAGAAGGACAUGGACUUUGAUCUGCUGAUGAAUAGGAUGGUGCAUUGCAUAGCACAACAUGAAGUGCAAAAGGUGCAGCAACCCCUAUACAAGAAUAUAGGAUAUACCAGAAAGGAAAGAGCGAAAAAAAGAAAAAGAAAAAGAAAAAUCAAUGCAUGAAUGAAAUAAAGUAAAGAAGUAACCCCUAACAAUGACUUACACUCAAACCCUUCCCAUGUCUUCAAAAAAAUCCAAACACCAUAAAGAUUUUGUUCCCAUACUUACAUCAUAUAGCUGUAGACAACAACUAAAAGAUAGUAGAAUAUCUGAGUUGGUCAGAAGAAAAGAUACAACAGAUCAAAAAUCCAUAUUAGUAGAGUUGGGAUAGGAUAAGCAAAAUUCUUUAAUAGACUUUUACAUGUAUAUAGCUCAAACCCAUUUAUAUCAGGAAAAAUUUCCAUCGCAGAAAUUCUAUGUUAAAUCCAUUGUUGCAUCUUUAACUGAAGGUGGGGAUGGGUCAUUCCUGAAGAAGGAUGCAUGUGCUCUCUGGCUACAAUUAUGGGGGACUCUUUGCAAUCUGUAAAUCAACCACUUCGUAAGAAAGAGAGUUUUUUUGGAGGAUGUCUCCUUUCCAUUUGCAGGUAGAAGAAGCAUAAUAGAAGAUUCUUUUUUAGCUUGGAGCUUAUACACCACAUAAGUGCGAGGAAAUCUUUAGAAAUUUUAUUUUGCGAGGAUUUACAGUCAACCAACCUUAAAAGAUUUUUCUUCUUUUCAAUUACGGGAAGAUAUGAGGAUAUGCUGAUUUCUUUCCUCUCUUUUUUCUAGGUUUAUAUACCUUGUAAUUACAUAGGUAUAUAUCAGAGGGUAAUAAAUCCUAUUAAACAACAUUCCAAAGAACAAUUGCAAGAAUAUAAGUAUUUUUGUAAAUAAUAUGGUCUAAAGUCGUGAAAUAUUAAUGUAUUCAAAUCACAAAUUGAAGUAAACAAUAAAAAGUAAUACGCCAGAGAUAUUGUAAAGAACAAUUCAGAUUAUUUUGGAACAUUGAACUGAAUAAAAUUUAGUACUGGCACAACUUGGAAUCAUGAACUCCCUAUACCAUUGCAUUUCCUAAUUUUGAAAUCAAACCACAUUACAAGGUGUAUUAUCCAAAGUAGUGAAAAAGCAUAUAACUGCAAACAAUAAUAUUAUGAUGCAAUAUGCAAAAAGGAAAAACACAGAUCAGCAUGCAAGAGAAGCAAUGAUGUGCAGUAUUUAAAUGAAAGUUUAACAAGGACACCUUCCACAUCAGGAAAUUCAUGCCAGCUUUGUCAAAGUUUUGUUUUUACUUUCUCUGACAUAAGACGCAUCAACGGUUCACAGCAAGCCUGAAAACCGCGCAUCAUCUUUAGACCUUUGGAAGCAAGGCAUGCAUGCCUCCAACUUUGGCCCUGGAAAAUGCAGGGGAUUCAUCAAUAACAUCCUCAAAACGGAACUUCCUAUGCUGUCAAAACGUAUGGAUGAAAUCAAGUUAUUAUAAAUUAGUUCUGGAAGAUUUUUAUAUCAAAACUGAAGAGUACUGAAUAGCUGCCUACUACUUUAACUACUCAUACAUAAAUCAACCCAUACACUAACUAAUAAAAGGAAAUAAAAGUAAUGGGGAAAAGGAAACAAAAUUGCCAUUUGCUAGAAGAUGUAAUAACAUUGUCAACAUCCAUGCCUCAGAUUCCAUAUGUACACCCACAAUACAAUAAAAAUGCUUCAAUGUUCAGAAAAAAAAAUCAGUCACCCUGUCUUACACAAAAAAAAAAAUGGAUGAUGGACAUAUAUCAGAUCACUUUCAAAGAUAAAGACUUUCAAACAAUGCAGAAGUCAAUAAGAGUUCUCUCACACCAAAUGGAAAGGCUAUUAUCUUCACAUAAAUUACAUAUAUUGCCUUGAAAGAUACAAUUUGGAUCACAAAGGCUGUAUCUUUUCUCAGUUCUCACUGCAAAUAUAUCUGUUGCAUUUGCUUAGCAUUCACAACUAUUAAAAAUAUAUUCCAGAUCUUUACUAGGAAAUACUUAAGGAUUAUGAGCUCAGAAAGAAAAACUAAUUGAGAAGAGUAAUAACACCAGGCCUGAAAAUAUUCAUUUCUUUAUAAGAUCUCUGGUACAUAAUUUCCAAGUUACAGUAAUUCAUCGUCAAGACAACUGCACAUUGACCAAAGAAGACAAAGCUAAAAAAUUUAACAAUUUAUCCUGCUUCUUACAUUGUCGGAGGGGCUUUAAAGCCAAGUAAAAAAAGAACCUAUUAUAAAAAGAAGGAAAAAAAGAAAACCAAACUACUAGUUAAUUACAAAAAUUUAUUCCAGCAGAUAUUAAGUUCUUUAGCUCCAUCAAAUGUUCAUCAUUUGAAAUAUGAAGUGAACAGCGAAGAUUUGUCAACAUUGUUGAUUGUUCCCAACUUAAAGGCCCAGAAGCAUGCAAUGCCGCUAGAGUGCGGCGAUAAGCAUGCAACUCUAAACUAUGGAUACUUGCUGCUAAUUCCUUUUCAAGAGAAAUGGGGCACUUUUCCUCCUCAUCUCUCACAUCUCCCUCAUAUCUCUCAUCUUCCUCAUCUCCCUCAUCUCUCUCAUCUCUCUCAUCUUCCUCAUCUUCCUCAUCUCCCUCAUCUCCCCAAUGGUAAAAUGAUUCAGCAUCACUACAAAGGUCAUCUGUAUCUUGUCUAGGAUGUGCUAAAAUACAACUGGAAAACUUAUUAGGACCAUUAUUAUUAAUGCUACAACUACCAACAGAGCAUGACAUGCUAUCAGAAUCAUUAGAUUCUGAACUUCUUGCAAGAAAACAAUCAACACCAUUUGGUUUUCCCCUCUCCAUUUCGCAAUAUUUAGUUGAACGGUCAUUAAAGGAAGCAUGCAUGUAUUUUUCACCCAGAUUCAAUCGUGGGUAAGCAACAGCAUCUACCUUUGCUCGUAAUGGAGAUGAAUACCCGGUGAUCACUCGUUGGCGUCCACCAUUUUCGAUUGCUCUCAUCUUCUGAAUGUUUCCAGAGUAUGCUUCAAGACCAGAGGAGCAAUAUGGGGAUGCUCUCUUCAAUGUCUUGGAUGAGACCAUAGGAGAAUCCUGGAAAUCAGCAUGCUUCUGAAAAAAAUCAUCUCCUGCUUGCAAUUUUAGCUUCAUAUCAGCUUGUGGCACCUGGAAACUCAUCUUCUGAUGACAAUUUGAAGUUAACAGCUUGUUGACUCUCACAUCUUCAAAAGUGAUAGAGCCCUGAGGGCAGAAGCCAAAAGUUAGUAAGUUAAUGUAGAAGUGAAGAUAACCAAUAAGAAUCACCAACAAUUUUAGUAUUGAAGAGAAAAAGACUAAGAUCAGUAGUGGACUUGCAAUUUUAAAAAGCCCCAAUAUCCUAACAUAACUACUUGAUAAACAUAAUUUAAAAAAGGAAAAAAAAAAAAAAGGAAUACAUGAACUUGACUGAAGAUGCAAUUCUCAAAUGCCGAAACCAUGAGCAUAACCAAAACCAUUAUUGAACAACUAUUUUAAGAAGUUUGCAUUCGGACCAAUAACAAGAAACAAAACACAAGAUCAAUCACCAAAGGAGGAUAGAAAAUUACUACAAUAGAACCAGAUUAUUACCUGUCCAAUCACAACCCAUUUGUCAUCUAUCCAAGCUUGUCGCACUCUGAUGUUAGACUUGUGGACUUCAAAUUCGUGGCAAGAUCCAAGUAGCCUAACCAAAUAGUAAACCGCACAUGUAACCUUCAAAACCAUAGCACAUUUCCAAGAACCAUCAUUGAACACCUCCACAACAUCACCAGUCACCCAACUUUCCAUACCUUUCACAGGGAGAGGGCAAGGUCUAAUAGCCUUCCUAGACACCCUAUCCACAUUCGCCUUAUUUGUCAUGCCCAGAUAAGAGUCAUACCUAACACUGUAGUUGUGCCCAUUACCGGAGAUAAUUUCAGCACAGUGCCAGGCACCUGAAGGCACUUCCUUUUUGUUCAAUACCUCCACUUUACUCCCUUUCCUGAAUUUCAUGUUGGCAGCAACUUCACUAAUCUAACAUUCCAAAACCUGUCACAACCAAGAAAUUAAAUAAAAAUUUAAUCAGAAAAUUCCAAUGCAUUCCAUAAGAACAAAACAACUACAGAAAGGGUUAUAUUAAUUCCAAUGCUUUGUAGAACUUCCCUAUUUCUAUCUUUUUUCUCUUCAAACCUGAAAUCCGUUUUUUUCCUUCUUAGGAGCUGUUUUCCAUUGAAACAAACAGAUCAGGAAGAAGAGAAGAGAAUGAGAACAACUUUUAAAUAGAUCUUUAAAAACAGUAGUUAAUGAUUCAAAACUUACAUAAAAAAUCCCAUAAUCAAAUCAUAUAAAAACAAAAUCAAGGAAAAUAAAAAUUAAAAGUUUGAUUCUCAAUAUGAAUUUCUUGUACACCCAUCACUCACGGGAAACUCCAAAAUGCCCAAAAAGUAUAAAGAGAAAAUAAAAAAAAAAUAGUGAACAGUUCAAAAAAUUAGUCCCAAUUUUUUUUUUUAAAAAAAAACAUCAGAAACUUUCGAGAAAACCACAAGCAAACUUUGAUCACCAAAAUCCUUAUAAGAAUUAAUCAAAUCAAAUCAAAGUAAAGCAAACCAAAAUCACUAAAUACAUGACAACAAAAACUCAAAAUCCGAAAAAAAAAUAAAUUAACACAUACACAACCUAAAUUUCUCAUCAGCAUGCAAACACCACGAAACUAUUCACUCAUUUCCAAUUAAAUAAACAGUAAUUGAAAAAAAAAAUAAACAAAUAAUAUUGAAAAUUUGAAAACUCUGAAACUUACCUUCAUCAAGAACCAAGCAGAGCAGAAGAUGAUUUUCGAAACCUGAGAGCUGAAUCGAUUUUGCAGAAAAAAAUAUAUGAAAACUAGGGUUUGUUAAAAUGAAUUUAUUUGAAGAAAAUAAAAAAAUAAAUACAAAGUUAAUUUAUACUAAUUUUGCAACCCACAAAAAGUGGAGGUGCGCAGUGCGCACAACCUACACCUAAUUCGUAAAGCAGGAAAGGUAUAAGCGUAGAGGAUCGAGAUCCCGAGUUCAGAAGCACUCUCCUGAUCUUGCCACGUUGGCAAUGAUGGGUUUUUGAUGAGGUGUCAAGAUCAGAGGAGGGAUGAGAAAUAUUCGGGUGUGGAAUGGAGGUACUACGGUUGUCGGAGCAGGAAUUCGUAUUCUUAAAUAUUUGUGAUGAUAAGUAUUUGAUGACACGUGUACAGUCAAAUAGAUUAUUGGGAAUUUUGGGAUUUAUCUCUUAGGUAAUUUUUAAUCCUAGACUCCUACUACAACUGCACCUCUCCAUUUUAGAAUUUUUUAUUUCUUUCAAACUUAUCUGUUACGUGCCUUCUCCAUCAGUUUUAUUGGAAAUCAAUUAACUAAAUAUAAAUACUCUUACCUGAAUUUGUAUUGAUUUUCCAAAUAAACUAACCAAACACCAUUCCAUAUUCCAUAUGUGUGGAUUGAUCUUUAUUGAUAUUAUUUGUACUCUUUUAAUUUAAAGAAAAACUAAAAAUAAUUUUAAUCCCAACCAUAUACUAAUACCCUUCUUAUACAAUUUUCAAACCGCCCUAAUUUUGACCAUCUUUGAAAAUUUGGAAUAGAGAAUGAGAAUGAAAAAUCAAUAUCGUCUAACAGGAUUUUGAUUCCACUCUUCUACAUGGUAUAAUAAUUCAUCCUUACUCUCAUUUUGUUUCCAUUCCUAUUCUCGGGUAACAAACGGACUUCAAUUGUAUUGAAAAAGGGGUCAAAAGUAUUGAUUAUAAGAACCCAAUAAAUAUUUGAAAUUUUACAUGUUUUGGGGUUUCAUUGAUUAAGAAUUAAAAUACAGAAUUAAAAGAGAAAAUUGAAGUUUGGUCUUAUUCAAGGGGCGGAAAGGCAAGAGUGGAUGAAUGUACAAGCUGGACAUUGAAGUUUUGUUGUACCAACCUCUCGUGUCAUUGUUGCCUAAUCUCAAGUGGUAUAAUAUUUUAGAAUUCUUGGAAUGAUAGAGCCAUCAAGCCAUCAAAUAAAAGAAAGGAAUGGGGGUAGUGUAUGAGUUGCUUCAAUUGACCCAGGAUGAGGACCAAAAAACAAUGUCAAGAUUCCUCCCCACAGGCAUCGAUAUGAUGCCCUUCAUUGCCUUUUUCUUAAUGAGAAGCAACAGAGAUUCCAAACCUUGUGUAAUGUGAGACAGAUCCAAAACCCAACGAUGUUUGCAAUGUAAACCAGGGCAGGCAGCCAGUUAUUGUGGGGUUGGAGCCUGAGGCCAGCAGCCUCACCAUUGCCCACUAGGCAAACCUGCAACCUUACCACAGAUGGCUAACAGAUUUAUCAUUUAUAUGCAGUUGCUGUAAACAAUGCAUGGUCCCUGAAUUUUCUUCCUUAGAAUGACGGUUAAUACAAGCCUUCCAGGAAGAUUGGGGUGCUCAACAACAGCAUCCCACCGUGAUUAACAAUAGUAUCAACCCAUGAGAACAUGUAGAAAGUUUCUCUUCGAUUAAAUAAACUUAUAAAAAGAAUACCAUAUUUCCAGCCUUAAUCUUACAAUUGCCGGUUUGACUCAAAACCAUGACAGCCUAUAGCCAGUUUCAGAAAUUCUGCGUUGGGCAUCAUUUUAUACAUAUAAUACCCACAUAGAAAGAACACGAUAGUGGGUUAUCUAGCUGGGUCCAUGUUUUCUCCUUAAAGGCCAAAUAUCCCAAGAGUAGGCAGCACAAAAUCUGAAUAAACAAGGCCAACAGAUCCCUCCCAAGACAGAUACGAGAGAAGCGUGCUUCAUACCAUCCAAGGUGUUACACAUUGGAAGGUUAGCAAUUCUGGAUCGUUAAUAGCGGGGCAGAGUCUAGAAACCUGAGAAAAGUAAACACAUAGCUUAUCUAGAGAUCAAAACGUGCAUGCUGGCCUGAGCAUUCAAAAGAAACAACAAACUUGGGGAUGAAUUAGAAAGGUGAAUAAGGUUGGCUUUGAAUUUGCAACCAUGGACUUGCCUCUAUUUCAUAUUGAAGUUCAGAUGGCAUAAAUGUCCAGAAAAGUACAAAAUACCAAUGUUUCAGAUCCAUGCCAUUCAUCACGUAUAAAUGCUGCAAAUUGUUAGAAAGGACAGAAAAAUAAAAACAGACAGCAAAGGAGGAAACCCAUCUAAGAAGAUAAGAUACAUCUUAGGGGAAAUAAGAAAAACUCUAAGAAGGCAUAGGGGAGCCUAAAGGUGCAGCAAAACCCUUUUAGCCAAAGAAGAUCCAAAUUGCUACCCUAAAUUCAAUAUACAAAUGCAUCAAAAGGCAAAGAAAUAUCCACAAUUUCUCUCAUAGAUUAAGUGCUAAGAAAUAGCCAAUCUAGAAUUAACCAUCUGAUCACAUUACUCAGGUCCCACAAUAAUGUGAAUCUUACCCGUUUUCUCUAGUUUCCCAAGCCCCCAUAAGAGUGCCAAAAUGCGAUGAACUGUUGGCACUAGUCCUACAUUUUGUCUCUGUAGACCAGGCGAAUGCAGGCUCCAAUACCCAACCAAAGGGCCACUGCUGUAUCAAUCAAAAAGACGGUCUUCAUUACUGGACAACAAAAUUGAUUAUAAAAUUUAUUAACACUCUCCAAAAAAAAGGAAGGUACUGUUAAAACAAUAACUCAAACCACUUCAGCUUCACCAACCAAUCUCAAGAGAAAGAUACAUGAAUACUGCCAGUAACAGUAUGCUCUGGGUUAUCAGUGGAGAACACAUUAAAGUUUAAUUUCAAAUGGCUACAGGGAAAGAUACAUGUAUUUUAGAUACUCAAUUUGUUCUUGUUACAAUAGAGACUAGAAUUUCAAUCUCUAACAUGAUACUUUGACUUUUAGUAAACACCUAUAUCCCUAAAAUUAUAUAUGAAUGGAAUAUAAUUGAGUAGCCAAACUAUCAAGCUUGAAACAGCUUGACCAUUCCAGCUAUAAGCCACAAGUGAAAUAGAAUCACUAGUUCACUGAUAAACCAGUAGGCUAUAAAUUUUGCUUACAAACUCAGAUCUUGCUUACCAACCAUGAUACAAUACUGCACAUUUCUGCAAUUAUCAUUCCUGUUAUCAAUAAUUAACAGGUUGUCUCCACAUGAAAUCCUUCACAUGCCAAAGUGGUUAAAAACAACACAACCACACAAACAUGUGGCUAGUAAUAGUGGCCUGCUUACAAUUACUUAUCUCAAACCUGCAGUUUUUCAGUUUAUACAGCAAGAAAUCAGGUCUUUACACUAGGAAAAUUUAAAAAAUUGAUCAAUUUAUGCAACAAUAAAUGCCAGGAGUAUCUUAGCAUUUGCUCUAUUAAAAAAGGAAAAAUCAUAUAUUGGCACAAGCAAAUGUCAGCCAAUUUGAUAACUUAUACAAAAAAAAGUGUAUGGACUUAUGGUUCAUACCUCGAGAGAAUGCAGAAGGUGUAAUCAAUGUUAAAGGAGUGCCCAGCAUUCUAGAGUUGUUUAGAUCCAUUGAUCCAGGGAAAGAUGAGGACAGUCAACCUAGUAGAUAAGAAGGGGGGAAAAAAGGAGCAACUGGUAAGUAAUGCACAAGCCCAUCAGAGUGAUCCCUAUAUAUAAAAAACACACUAUAGGAUAGUGUAAUGGACCUUAUCUUCUUGGACGGAUAAGCUUACAAGGAUAAGCGUCACAGCUAACAACAUAUUUCUUCCUUGAUGACUUAAACAAAGGCAAGAAGCAAUUUACAAAGAAUGACCAAUUGAGUGCUGAUUUAACCAUGUGAAGGCCUAGAAAGGGAUCGAUCUCCUUUGAACUUUCCAUUUAUGAGAAUAUCAUAGGUUACAUCAUCAGGUACAAGGCCUCUGUCAAGCAUCUCAUCAUGCAAUGUAAAAGCCUCUUUCAAAUUCCCUUCCCUGAAAUAACCAGCUAUCAGUGUGUUAUAAAUAAGAACACUAGGAGUCAUAUUUUUCCUAUCCAUCUCUUCCAAGAUCUUCCGUGCAUUCUCUAGCUGUCCUUUAUUGCAAAGUCCAUUUACCAGAACAUGAAAUGUGAUAAUAUCAGGCACAAUACCCUUGGAAAGCAUCUCCAUGUAAAGAUCUGAUGCAAAGACAAGUCUACCUUCUUUCAGCAAUCCAUCAAUCAAAGUUGUGUAUGUUCCUAAAUCACAAGGAAUCCUGUCAUUGAUCAUCUUCUUAUACCAAACAAGUGCUGCUUCCAUGUUAUUCAGAUCUCUGAAGCCACUAAUCAUGCUGUUGUAAACAAUUCUAUUUGGGGAUAAGCCAACUUCAAGGAGUUCAAAGAAAAGAUCUUGUGCACUUUCCAUAUCCCUUCUUUUGCAAAAACCAUCAAUAAGAGCACUAUAUGCUGUAACAUCCAAUUCAAGACCCUUUUCUCUCAUUUCAUCCCGCGUUUUCAAAGCGAGAUCAAUCCUAUUACUUUUGCAGAACCCAUUAAUCAAGCUAGUGUAAGUAACAACAUUUGGGGAAACUCCAAAUUCACACAUCUCUCUAUAAACAGCCAAUGCAGAAUCGAUGUUACCCUCCUUGAUAAAUCCAUCUACAAUGCUGUUGUAAGUCAUACAGCUUGGAAUGAAACCCUCCUCCAAAAAAUUCUUCAGCUUAUCCCUUGCCUCUGACAUUUGGCCAACUUUGCACAAACCAUUGAUAAUUGUAUUAAAUGUAAAGUCAGUAGGGGCAAUAUUUAAGCUCAGCAUUUGGUCAAACAAGUCUAAGGCUUUUUCACUAUCACCUUUUUUGAAAUUCCCAUCUAUCAAAAUAGAAUAAGUGACCACAUUUGGUUUCAAAUCCCUUGCGAGCAUGUCUGAGAAUACACUGGAUGCCAUAUCCAUAUUCCCUUUCCUGCAGUGGCCAAGUAUCAUGUCAUUGUAAGAAACUACAUUGGGUACCAUUCCUUGAUUUACCAUAUUAUCCAAUAAACUGCAAGCUUCAUCCAUCUUGCCUCCUUUGCAUAGCCACGACAUCAUGAUAUUAUACGUAAAAAUAUUGGCAACACCACAAUCAACCGCUUCAUCAAACAGCUUGGAUGCUUCUUCCCACAAUGGAGCUUUCAAGUAACCCCGUAAUAGGGAAUUCACAUUAAACACACUAGGCGGGAUACCAUUGAGUUUCAUUUGAGUGUACAGUUCAGAAGCCUUUUCAAUGUUCCCACUGUUACAGCAACCUUCAAUCAAGACUGAAUAUGUAACUUUGUUCGGAAAAAGUCCAUCUUCAGUUAUCUUAUUAAACAAAUUCAAAGCACUAUCCAAAUUGCCUUGAGCACAAUACCCCUUCAUUAAACUCGUUGCAACCACCAAAUUCAUCGGCUUCCCACAAUUUAUCAUCUCCUCCUUUAGCCUUAAAGCCUCCACCAUAUUUCCCUGUGCCACACAAGCAACAAUAACACUAGUGAAAGUGGCCUCUGAAGGAACCCACCCCCUCUCUUUCAUCUCCUCCAACAACUCAAGACCCAAAUUCGAAUUUGGUUUCUUGCAAACAGCCUGAAUAAUAAUACUAUAUGCCCCUGCAUCAAGUUUAACACCCCUUUCCUUUGUUUCCCUAAAAUACUCCUCCGCCUCCUCCACCCUCCCUUCUUUCAGACAAGCUCGAACCAUGACAUGUACUGUAAAGUGAUCACCAUAUAUUCCUCUCAAAACCAUUUUAUUAUACAAAUCUCGCAAUUCCCCAAUCAUAUUUCUCCUAACCAGAGCAGUCAAAAGAAUAUUCAUAUACGGAACCCAAGGAAUCACAUCCUGACAGAUCAUCGCAUUGAAACAAUCGAUUGCAUUUUCAAUUCGAUUGGCCCUAAUGUAAGCAUUUAGCAAAUAAUUAAAAACCCGAUGAUCUAAUUCAAAAUCGAACCUUUUUGCGCAGUUGAUUAGAUGAUCAACAAAAACAACUGGACUGGGAUCCGAAUCACCCGAGACAUAUCGAUUAAGCAAUUUCCGAGCAUGUCCAUGAGUCUCAGGCGACCGCAUCAAAAUGUGGAGCAAAACACAGUAGGCAUCUACCCCUCUGAUAAAACCACGCUGCGUUUCGGCCCGUUUAAAGUAUCUCAGAGCUGAUUGUGGGUCAUUGACGUGGCACAGAAGAGCAUCUAUUACAUGGUUUUGUGAGAGAGGCGUGGUUUCUUGGUGAAUUUGCGAAGUGGGUACGGUGUCUUGGGAGUAUCUUGGAUAUGGGGAAGAUGAGUUUCCUGGAAAACUGGACUCUGGACUGAUUUUCUCGGGAAAAUUGGCUUUCGGAUUGGGAUCCUCGGGAAAAUGUGUAAGUGAUUCUGAGGUGGAUUUCUCAAGAAUCUCUGGUUCUGAUAUGGCUGGUGGGAUAGAAACAGAGCAGACACAUUUCGGGUUUGUGAAAGGCCAUCGUAAAAUUGGAGAGAAUGUGGACAAAGAAAUUGCAGAUCUCAUGCUUGGUUUCUGCAGAAACGAAGGGCUCUACAAAACCUCGAAGCUGUUAAACUUAAACCCUACCGGUCCUCGAUUGUGAUUUGGGCCUGGUUUGCUAUGGGCUGGGCUUGUUUGCAUCGGGUCGGAGAUUUUAAACCCAAGCCCAAUUUAGUCGGGCUCUGACUGAAUCUCAUGUUUCUAUGAUUGAAUAAGUAAUAAUUUGCCUAUGGCUAUAUUAUCAAACCUUCUAAAAAGACAGCACCAAUCAGAUGAUGCCAUAUAUCUAUUUGUUUAUAUCCCAACUUUGAUCAUAUUUAUUUAUACCCUUAUCUAAAGGUUUAAAUAUUAUCAUAUACAUUUUAUCACUUCAUAGAUGCCACCAUGGUACCUAACAUUGUCCUAAUAAUUUUUAUAAAAAAAUUAUAUACUUUCUAUUGGUUACGAUAUCAUUGAUUAUGUCUGAAAAACAAAUUUUAUGAUACAAUUCAUUGAUAAUGAAAAAUUAAAGUAUAAAUAUAAUAUAAAACUUGCAAUGUUAUGUAUAAGAAAAGAUAAUUUUUCAAAACUAUUUUUAAAACAAUUACCAAACAUACCCUAAAUUUUCCCAAUCCGUGAUUCAUAUGUCCCAAUCCUUAGUUCUAUUCUUGACUCAUGAACCCCUUAGCAUGAUCUCUUCAAUCAACUAUCAAAUGCUCAUGAAAAAAUACCAAAUCAAACAUAAUGAUAAUCAUAAGAAUUUGAUUGAUUAAUGACUACUAUCAGUUCAUAUUUAAUAUUGUGACCGAAAUACAAAUAGAAUGUCCUCUAACAAGAUUGUGUGGUGUUGAAUGCGAUGAUACAAUUUGCUUCACAGCCUCAAGUGAAUAUACUGUCCAUACCCCAAUUAUAUUCACAACAGGAAAUUUGAUAAAUUUUGCUUUGCAUUGAGCUUUAUAGGAAUCCAGAUGGAUGGGUCAUGCCUUUGCUAUAAGAAAUUGAAAAUGUGCAUUGUAGAGUGGGACUGACUACAAUCCUGAAGGUUGAGUGAAUAGAUAUGUAAGUAAUGGAGCAACCACUGCUACGCUUAAACUGUUCCCCAGCAAUGCGUAUCUGCAUACAAAAGCAACUCAAUUAUAUACAAAAUUUAUUCAUCACAAAUAUUUAUGAUUUACCAAACUUUGCUGUAAUCGACUAAUCCCACGGGGCCCUGAAGUUAAGGACUGGAUAAGCCUCCAGUGGCCCUAAGGGGACUCGAACUGGUGACUAUUGAGGAGCAAACCCAAAGCCAGACCAACUGAGCUACCCCUUAGGGUUAAACUUUGUUGUACUCUUACCAUGAGGCCAAUAGAUUUUUUUAUCCAGAUUGAAAAUGAAUUAAAGUGAGAAAAAGAUGCAACUGGGAACUAUGCAAACAGGUCAGAGAUUAAAAGAAACAGAUAACAACAUAUGAUGUGGUAAUUACUUAUUUCCACUAUAAAACACCCAACCCAUGAAAACAUAUAAAUUGCUCCAUGCUAAUAGGACUUUUUCAGAAGGAGCUGAAUGUUCAGUUUCAUCAAAGCAAGUGUUAUAUCUUUUAUAGAAACAGCAAUAUAUCUCAUUAUAUGUUGCACUUGAUGAGGCAUGCAAACAUAAUGGUGAAACAUGAUACUAUUAAGGAUUGGACUGUUAAAGAAGAAACUUCUAGGGAGCUCUCCUGAGGAGAGGCAACUGCUAAGAUGAUGAAAAUGUACAAAAUUUUAUGGUUUCGUCCUAUAAAGCGAAGCUAUAAUACUCGGUCUCUCCAAUUUUCUGGGUUUUAUCUACUAAAGGGAAGCUAUGAUACUCGGAUUCUCCAACUUCAGCCAGCGUAUUCAUAUCAACACAACACCUUAUGGGUGUGAGUAUAUAUAGCAUCAUUGUUUAAUACUCAUAUUUUGUUUUGGAUAUGGUUCUUUGAUUCUAAUUGAUUUCCUUUUACUACUACCACAUUCCUUAUCAGAUAGUUACAUUGAAGAAAGAGAGAGUUGCUGGAACAUGACCUUUUAGAGUAAUAUUAAAAUAUAAUAAAGAAAAGAAAAGAAAAGAAAUAGAUAAAAGAGAAGGAACAAAGCUUUUAUUCUUUGUUAUGAUCUAUCCUAGUGUCCAUAUUCAUUAUUGGGAACCUUUUUAGCUAAGUCUUAUUAUUAUAUCCUAAAAUUUUUACAUCUAAAAUAUCAUCCACCAAGAAACAUAACCUACCCACACCAGAACUCAAACCCAUGCAACAUUUAAGUCAAGGGUCAAGCCACUUGAUUGUAGGACUGGGAAACAGUUCUAUGGGAUUCCAAAAGUUGGUUUCCAUGUGAAAUACAUGCUUUAGAUCACUAAUCCUAUCAACAAUGUAAACAUUAUCUUAAGAUCAUAAAAAUUAUAUUUCAUUCCACAAUUUAACUGGAAAGUGAAAAAUAAACACAAAACUUAGAAUAUGUUAGGAAAAGAAAUGUCAAUUUAUCUAACAACUAAACGCAACAUGAGACUAGCAAGAGCUUAGGGUAAAUUAUAGUUUCUUAACCAGAUCUCCCAUCUGUUUUAUUAGUAAAUUGGUAAAAAUUUGUCAAAGUUCAUUGUUCCUACUUUCAUCCAAUCCUCACACAAAAUCAUAAUAACAAAAACAGAGGGAUAAAUGUAACAUACCGCUGUCUAAGGUUUACAUGCUGUGGAAAGUGAAAAUCCUCUGGGAAAGAAUGCAGAUUAGCAACCUAAAAGUUAUCAAAAUCAUAAAUUAGUUGAUAAGAGACAAAGACAAAAGAAGAAAGAGAUAUGAGCAAAAUUUACACACCUCUCUAGGGGUAAAAUAUCUAAGACACUGCUCCUCCAACAAGGAUGCUUUAUCCUUCUUUGACUGCAAGUCGCCCAUUUUAUAGAAGUCAUGAAAAAUGAAAAUGGUCAUAGCAAUAAUUUCUAUAGUGUGAACUAACCUUGAAUGCAAACUAAAUUUAACUCAGAUAUUGGGAGUGUUGCAGAGAACUACCAUGGGUUGCACAGAACACUGGGGGCCGAAUUAAUUGCGGGAUGUGAACUAAACAAUCAAAUAUUUUGAAACUAAAUCUGGAUAUUGAUCCAGUGAAAUGCCUGGUUGAAUUAGACCAGGGUUUUUGGUCGCAUCCAUCCAACAUAAAUAAAUAACUAUUGGGAACCAUUGGAUGCUAAAAAAAUUCUGCAAUCUUUCAACCGUUCCUAAAUUUUACAUCAUGUAUAAAAAUAAGAUCAUCACAUCUAAGGGCUAAUAAGUAUUUGAGCUCACCAAACAAAUGAACUGCCAUGGCAAACAAGCCCAUAAGUCCAUUUGAUCAAGUAUGAUGAACUCAAAACAUUGCGAUGAGCCAGGUUGCUGAAACCUUCAUGUAAUGGCCAAAGCAACCAGACCAGCUAAACAGACAAAAUUUUAUAACAGUAGUCCAAACUAACGGUUGCAAGAGUGCCUGAUAUAAUAUGAGAAACAAUCAAGACUAAGUUUUUAAAAUAAGAAUAUCUAUCACGAAUCAGCUCUAUGCUGUUUAAGAGACUGUCUUUACAGGACUCACUCAGAUAUUCAAGAAACAGUGAACAUAAUUGAAAUUCAUACCUGGCCAGUUGCCAAAAGAGAGCCAGUACCCUUCACAUACCGAUAAUAACUUUUUGUAAAACAGCAGCAACGCUUUGAGUCAGGAUAGACAAUAUCUAUGAUCUUUUUAAGGAUUCAUUAAAAGAGAGAGAGGGGUUUAUUCAAUAAAAAGUACAACAUGACUAAUUACAAAUGGUACAGGUAAUCAACGGGAAUAAGCAAGGAUACCCAUAGCACUUCCCCACCUCUCUAUCAAGCUCAAUGGAACAGAAAACUGGUCCCAAGAAUUACUGUCAGAUCUGUCUCUUUCAUUGUUCUCCAACUCUCCAGAAGCAUCUGUAGAAACACUAAGGGUGUCCAAGUAGCUGGACUCUGUUUCUAAUGGGUUGAUAGUAUUCUUGAAUUCAAGAAAUCUCUCCACUGGCUCACAUGAUUGGAGCAACUUAUCCCAGAUCUUCUCUGAUUGAUCAUGUUCAUCAAUCAGUGAGUCAUCCUCAUGACCAAAUAAUGGGCUUGGAGUUGAAAGUAGUUGGUUAUUGAAGAGUUGGUUUUCAAAUGAUAAAGGUUUCCUUUUUGCCUGUAGCAAUAAGUAGAUUACAUUUAUCAAUUAAAAAUCUGGACAAGUGUGUGUAUAGGACUUCUUAAAAUCAUGAUAAUUUUCCACCCUUGUAUCCAACAAAUGACCAUAAAUUGGUUAGGCUUUUAGUUUGAAUUGCAUGAACUUCCACAAACCACCUUGAAUGAGACCUGAUUUUUUAUAACAACCCUAAUUUUUAAAGGGAAAUAUUUAUCCAAUUCAUAACCCAUCCUAAGUUCCAUCACCUUGUUUAUUCUUAUAUGGAAAAGAUAAGAAUAAUGACAAUAAUAAUAGUUAUAAGUGAGACAGCAUUUACCAGGCAAAAGUAUCGUGGCCUGGAAUAUGGCACGCCAAAUUGUAUUGGGCUCAAAAUAAAUUCCUGGGUAACAAAACCAGUUUUUGAUAAUAUCUCAAUCAUUUUCUCAUGUGUAUCAGAUGUCUGCAACAAAAAAGACAGUACAAAAGAUAAGCAAAGAAUACUUGAUUGAAAAUAAAAAAUUUAUAUGCCAAGUUCACAGACCUCGAAUCCAACAACAUUCUCAACAAAAAGCAUAAGUGGAGGAUGUAAGGUGUGCUGUAUAAGUUCAAGAAUCUUGAGAAAAGAAAAUGCCCGGGCAUCGCCAGAGUGCUUUUGGAGACCUAAUCACAAAAUAUUUUGAGAAAACAUCAAUCCAAAGAUAAUUCAAAAAACAAGAAAAGGAAAGCAACAAUAGUUCACCUUGUCGGGUGUAUGGCUGGCAAGGAGGAGAAAGAAGCCAUGCAUGAGCUCUAUAUCUAUCAAGAUCAGCAGCAGUAAGGCUCUGGAUGUUACCCUAGGACCCAAAAAAAAAAGUCCAUUUUAAGCAUCUUAUAAGCCAAAUGUCAAAUUUUUGAAAUGGGUACCUCUGAUUUUCUUAUUUUUGAGCAGCUCAAAAGCCAAAUACCAAAAAUUUGAAAAAUGGGCAAUUAGGAUUUUCCAUUUUCAUGAACAGCCCAAAAGCAAAAAAUAAAUUAUAAAUAAAUAAAUAAAUAAAUAAUAAUAAUAAUAAUAAGCUGCCUACUUUCGGGUGGAAAGCAGUAUUCCUCCAUUUAAUUGCUACUGAGAAACAUAAGGAAAAAGAAGGAAAAAAAGGUUUAUAUUUAUGUUGGUUUGAUUCUAAGCACAAUUAAAAUUUAAACCAAAGAGUAGGAAGUAGAGUGAGGUGAAUGCCAAAUUCUGAAAAAUCUAAAGAAAAAGGGUUUUUCUGCAUAUUGCGAAUAGGAGUUGAAGUGGAAAGAGAAGAAAACCUGGCAAGGGCGGUGACCGAAAUUGUGUUGAUAAACAUCGUUGGCAAUGUUGUUGAUGUCGAAUGCUUCGACAAUUUUCGCAUUCACACCUCCCCUCUUUAAAGAGUAUCUCUAUCGAAACAUACACGCAGAGAUACACUGAAAUUAUAACGAACACAUAUAUGCAUCUACACAUAUGGAGAGAGAGAGAGAGAGAGAGAGAGAACCAUUCCGCCGAUGCCACUGUAGAAUUCGAGGACUCGCCAUGGAUCCUCACCUUGGGGAUUGCACAAACCCUUCUCCAUUGAUGGGUGCUUCCCCUGUGAGAGAGAGCGGCGCCAACUCAGUGCCUUCACGAAAGUUGCAUAUCAUACGACGUCAAUUGUCGUCUCUAGGGAUGAACUUGGGAAAAUCAAAGCAAGAUAUGGUUUUAUACUACAAUCAAAUUAAAUUAUGUAAUUUACUUUUUAUUAAUAAAAAUUAUUAUAGAUGUAAAGAAUUAUUAAAAUAGUUCUCAAGACCAUUUCUUUUUCAUGUAAGUUUUUAAGAGUUUUUACAUUUUAUAUUAUUUUUAUAAUUUUAAAAAUAAAAAAUAAAAAAUAUAUUCAAACGGACACUUGAUUAUUUGCACCUUCAUGCAAUAUUUCCAAUUUUUACCAGCAAUUAGGCUAAGAAAAAUAUUGGUUAAUGUGAAAUUGUUGUUUAAUUUGACAUGCAUUUUGUUCAUUUCUUGUAAGUUGUAUUUAAUUUAGGGAUUUUUGUCUCGAACUUAAUAAAGAGCUGCACUUUAGUACUCUAGCAUCAUUUAUUAACAGACUUACUUUUUUUACACUUCGAUUCAAAUUUGGUAGAAAAAACUUUAAAUUAACGUUGUUGAAGUGAAUUUUCUAAAAAAGAUGUUCGCAUAAUUAUUCAUAAUUUUUUCCUUCCACUAGAAAAUGUGGCAACUUAAUUUAAACUAUUGACAUAUUUCUUUACAUUCUAAAUAUAUUGUAUUAUUCUUUAGUAAGACGAUAUGUUAUGUUAUAUUUAAUUUGUGAAAGGAUAAAAUAAAAAAUAAUAUAGAAUGUAUAUUUUUUUAAUAUUUAAAAUAAAAUUUAUAUUAUAUUCCAAUAUUUUUUAUUUAAAAAAUAAAAAAUUUCUUAUAUUUAAUUAUAUUCAUGAUUAAAAAAUAUUUAAGUUUUAUAAAUAAAUUUUUUUAUAUUAUGUUAUUCAAUAUAUAAAAAUAAUUUAUAUAUCAUACAUUAAUAUUAUUUUAUAAAUACUUUUUUAACCAUAAAUUUAAUUUAUAAUGAAAAUUUUUAUUUUAUAAAAUGAUUACAUAAAAAAAUUGAUAAAAAAAAAAUUAUGAUACAUGAAAUGAAAUAUGCAUAUUUCAUAUAUACAAAGGAUAAAAAAAAGAUGUAUUUCAUCAUUCAUUAAAUAUGGGAUAUUAUAUAGUAUUUCAUCUUUUAUCCUAUCACAUUUUUCCCUUGAUGGCAAAUCAUCCUUUGUAGUUAAGGCACUUUUGAGUUGUGCUUUAAGAAUUUUAAUAUACGAUUACAUCAUAUGGCAAGUUAACAGGAUAUCUUUGUCCAUCCAUAUGUCAUGGACUUUUAGUCCAAUUAUGCAUUUUUAUUGCCUUUGUACCCUAUUAUAUGCUUUUGAAAUCCCUAAAGCACAAAUAUCCCACUAUCGGGGAAUGGCUCCCUUUCCUCUAAUUCUUAAUGAAUGAAAUAAUUAAGCAUGCCAUAGAAUUUACCCUAAUAAGAUCCCAUUGAUUGUAACAGGGGACAAAGAUAUUCCUUAACUUAAGGUUUUUAGACUUUUUGUCUUAUAAUUUAAAAGAAAUUUGAUGUAUUCUAAUAUUGAUUCCUUUGGGUAGGUUUAUAGGUUACAAGGGGAUAUAGAAUGUGGUUAAUACGAUUAAUCAUGUUUCCAAAACUUGGGUUUAGAUUACGGAGACAUGAGGGAAAAAAAAAAGAGGAAAAAGUGGAGAUAGGGUUAAGUAGGUUCGGAAGAAGGAAAGAAGGAACAUAGCUGAGAUUUUACCAAGAGUCUAACUGAAUCACAAUGUUUUGUUCGAUUGUUCUAGUCCCGCAUCCCAUUCAUUUGUAUUUUGAUUUCAUUUUUUUAUACUUUGAUCUCAUUUGUUUGUACCUGAUUCCAUAUAUUUGUGUUAUCUAUCCGAAUGAGAUUGCAAACUAAUCAAUAUCCUCAAAUUUUCUUGUAGCAAUGAGAUAGGUCAAACACUUAGGAAGAAUUAAUUUCAGUUUAAUUAAUAAAAAGGGAAACAAGAAAAAUAAAAUAAUUGUUCUUUUGUGAUUGUACACCUUUCUUUAAUGUCUUUCCAAAUAAUACAUCAACGAGUCCACUGAGGCUUAUGCCUCAAGCCUCCAGGCAUGACAAGCGUACUUGAGCCGUGCCUUUGCCAAACCUUGACCCGUAAGUCUAAUGCAUUUUUUCCUUGCGCCUCAUCGCAUUUUCGAGGCGCUUUGCCAUGAAGCACGCCUCAACAUGCACCUGAAAACAUAUCAUAGAAUGAGAAAAGGAAAAAAAAUAAAUUAAAAUAUGAUAAUUAUUUAGAUGGAAAGGAAAAUAUUCCACUGCAAAAAACUUAAUUAUAUAUACAAAAGAGAAUAUACAUACAUAUACAUGAUGGGUAUCAAAAGGGCACUAGUGGUAGGUUUGGCUCGAUGGAAAAAACAUGGAAACAAAGGAAAACAGAAGUUGAAACGAAGACAAAAACAGAGGGAGAAACUAGAGAGAGAUGAGCAAAGGGAAAAAUGAAAGAAGUACUUUAACACUACGUCCACCGUGAAAUAGAGAGGAGGCAACCUCGACAAGAGAGAAAACAUAGAGACACAUUGCCGAUGAGAGUUGUCAAGAUUAGGGUUUUUUUCUCUUUUCUUGUCCUAUUUGUAUUUGAUAUUUGUUUUGAUUUUUGUUUUUUUUGAUACAUCAAUGACUCCAUUGAGGCUUACGCCUUAACCCUCAAGGCAUGAAAAGAGCACUUGAGGCAUGCCUUAGUCACGCCUUAACCUUUAAGGCAUAUGCCUUCUAGGGUUGAUCUUUUCUUCCUUGCACAUCACCUCAUUUUUGCAGGGAGACCCUUCAACGUUGUCUUUCCACCACCAUUAAUUGCAAGGAUUGAAUUGCUCUUAUAAAUGGUUUAAGACGUGCAAGCAAGCAAGCAAGCUUGACCAAAACUCCCACUUAUGAACCUGAAUAGAUUGUUUAUGCCAUGAGACUUGCAAUUCUAUUUCAGCUUACCACCAAGAAGUGUGAUUAAAAAUACAAAAUAGCAGAGAAGAGACAAACAUAGAUUAAUUAUCAUAAAGAAACUCCACAACCUUACUUGAAAAACAAAAGGAAUAGACAAAAAUCUUUCACCUUACAGCUAAAUAAAUAAUGUUCAUUAGGUUUCUUCAUCAUCAUUGCAACCUAUGUUUGGAAAUUCACAUUCAACAAAAGAGGUCAUACUCUGGCCUCGGAUAUCGUCUGAUAGUUUCUGCCCUUUUCAAUACCAAAACAACUCUAUUUUUGAAGCAACCAUCAUGGCAAAAAUGUAAACAUUUUCUAGUUAUGUACUAUUUUAUGGCAGAAAUAUACAAAGCUAAACCCAAUUGUGCUUCCAGAGAACAUUCAAUUGGUAAGCACAAGCUUUCCACAUGAAGCAAUAUCCUUGCCAACAGGGGACACAAAAAGGAACUUCAUACAGGCAGCAAAUAUAACCUCCAAGAUUUUCAAAAGAGCAUAUCAAUUUCUUCCGCAUUCUACUGAGAUGUGUCCCAUCAGAGAGUCAACCAUUCACAAUAUUUCAGGUCAAACCCAUGAAACAAACAAUACAUUAUUCCUUAACAAGAAUCCGUGCGGCCAUAUUAAAACCAAAAACCAUGUGUAUCAUGAUGCACUGGGAAAAAUAUUAGAAAAAUAAUAGGGAUAAUAAAUACCUGUAAUUGAAUUUCAUUCACCAAUAAUCCCGGCAAGAACACAAUCCAUCUUUGAAGUGGUGGAAUCUCUUAGCAUCUCGUAUGAUGAGCUCCCUGCCAACAAGCUUUGAAAUGAUCUUCAGGGCAGUGUGACAGUCACCACAAACACGAAGAUUCUUGAUUACCCUAAUAGGUGAACGCGCUGGGCUGCUGAGAAGGCCGUAAGCAACAGCAAGUCUCUCACUAUGAGCAAGAAGAGCUUCCUCCUUGCCUUCUUGGUCUAUGUCAUGCAACACAAAUCUGGUCUCUGGCACAUAACCAGCCUCUUUCAUUUGUGCCUUCAAUCCCCUUAGUUUUGCGUAGAUCUUGUCAUUCUCAGGAUGAGAUGUAUCCCCCGCUCGAUAUUCAUGGACCCUGCUCCUAACCUCUAAAAGAUUUUGACUGGCCAAUUUCUUCUUCUCUUUCUCUUUCUCAAGGUCAGAAGCUUUCACUGGUACAAGGCCUGCUUUUGAUUGCUCAGUUAAGCGGGAGGGCUCCAGAUGCUCAACAAGCUCAGCACAGCGAUCCCCAAUUUCCAUAUUCCCUUGAACUCUACAUAUAUUCAUCAAGGUUUCCCAGACAUCGACACUUGGCUCUAGCGGCAUCUUCUCAACGAACUCUAGUGCUUCAUCCAAGUACCCUGAAUUACCCAGCAUGUCCACCAUACUCGCAUAAUGCUUCAUUGAUGGAACAAUGCCAUAAUCCUUGCUCAUUGAAUUAAAGUGCAACAUCCCCUCAAUGACAUCGCCUAAGACACUGCAGGCCAUGAAGACCCCAAUAAACAUUUGACCAUCGGGUUUCAGUCCUGAUUCCUUGAAUUGAAUGAACAGAUCAAUUGCCUCCUCUCCAAGAUCAUUCUUAGCAAACCAUGUUAUCAUGGUGUCCCAGGAUGUCAAAUUGCGCUCUGGCAUUUUCUUAAACACUGCAUAUGCAUCAUCCAUGGAACCACAUUUUGAAUACAUCUCUAGGAUCCUGUUAUAAGUACUCACUUUGAGAGGGGAUACUGAUUUGAUAAGGCUCUCGUGAACAGCUUUUGCUUCUUGUAGUGCUUUAGCCUCCCCACAUGCCUUCAUUAACCGCAGGUACCUGGGCAAAUCCACAGGAGUGUGCUGCUUCUCCAACAAUCCCAAAACUUCUAUAGCUUCCUUUACUUUUCCAUCCUUGCAGAAAUCAUCCACCUCCUCAAGAGUGCCACUAUAUUGGCUACUCUCUGCAGCUUCUAAAGACUCUCCAUCUGGUUUGUAAUUACUUGAUUUUGGAGAACCCACCAUGCUAUUCUGAAACUCAUUAGAGUUUGUUUGAUAUUGAGCAACAUUUGGGUUCUGCUGAUAUUGAGCAACAUUUGGGUUCUGCUGAUAUUGAGCAACAUUUGGGUUCUGCUGAUAUUGACCAAUAUUUGGGUUCUGCUGAUAUUGACCAACAUUUGGGUUCUGUUGAUAUUGACCAACAUUUUCUCUAUAGUACAUAUUCUCACUUGGCUGAUACUGCUGUAGAUUUUCUCUAUGAUAUCCACUUGGGCUCUGCUGAAAUUGCCUGAUAUUUUCUCCAUAAGUCCUAUUUAGGUCUCCCAGAGUCUCCGAUAUGAUCUGUUGACAAUUCCCAUUCCGAUUCUGAUUCACUUCUGCUCGUCCCUCACUGUAAUAUGAGUUCUGUACAUUUCUGUUUUGUCCAUAAAAGUCAUUCGACUUUUGCAAUGAUUCUCCAUAAUUUUGCCCACAAUACCCAUUAAUAUUUCCACUUUGCCCAACUAGGUUCUGCUGAUAUUCAUUUAUAGUGCUUUCCCUACAAAGCUCGUUCUGAUUUGCCGGCAAGCCUCCAGAACCUUGCCUAUAAUUCCUACUAAAAUUUCCACUCUGGCUAAAUGGGUUCUGCUUAAACUCGUUUCUAGCAUAUUCCCUGUAACCUCUAGGAUUUAAGUCUUGAUGAACUUCGGAAGAGUUCAUGGAGUUUCCUCCAUAAAGCCCAUCUGGAUUUUGCUGCAAAUCCCGGAAAUUUUGUCCAUUAUACCCAUUAAAAUUCACAUUUUGCCCAAUAGGGUUCCUGUGAAAUUCAUUUCUAAGGUUUUCCUCAAAACCCCCAUUAGGGUUUAUGCUUUGUUGAGCCUCCACAGAGUUGCCUCCAUAAAACCCUUGUGGGCUUCCGGAAAAAUACCCACCCGGGCUUUGCCCAUUUGGUUUUUGCUGAAACUCUAUAUGAUUCUGAUUGUCUGCGUCAAACCCAUCAGGGUUUUGGUGAUUCUCUGGAGAAUUUUCUUUUUGAAACCCGUUAGAAAUUUGAAAAUCGGCUCUUUCAGCGGCAGUACUAAGAUUCUUCAAUAAAGUUAGGGUUUUAGAUGAAGCCGAGGAGGAGUUGGGAGAAGGACAUACCUUGGAUAAAGCAGUGAGAGAGUUGAUUGUAAGAAGCGUAGCUCUCUUUGCGGACAUUGUUUACCUGUCGUGGUGAGAUAAUUCGAGAGGAGAGAGGUUCAAGACAAUGGAGAGACAGCGGAGGAGGAAAGAAACCAGAGAAGUUAAACCCGUUGGCUUACAAACCUUAAACCCUCGCAACCAUUGGCCGCCAAUGAACAGUCUUGGGCCUAAAAUUGGCUUUUGAAUUGGGCCCACUGUUAGUUGACAUCAGGUUCCCAUAACUCUUUGCCUUUGACACCUCUUUUCUCAAAAUGCUAGAUGUGAUCCACGUGCAAGCCAUAUGAGCUAUUAGUUAAUAAAUUAAUAUUAUCUAAAUUUUAUUUUAAUUAGUUGGUAAAUUUUAUAGAAAUGUAAUUUUUAAAAAUUAUUAUAAAAACAAUAUAAAUAUUAUUAGUUAAAGAGAUUAUGAAGCUCCACCUAUUCCAUAAUCGAAUGUUUUAAUAACAUAUAUCAUAUAUUAUUAUCAUAUGACCGUAGGUUCAUGGUGAGACCUAAUGUUGACAUCUUUUUGUAUUUUGAAAGGGCUUUAAUGGUAAUAUAAUUGAUUCAAGGGUGAUAAUAUAAUCUGAUCUUUAUCCAAUGAUUAUAAGGGGCUUCUGACAACUAUUUUUAUGAUACAAGAGUAAUAUUUGAUCAAAAAUCAAUUUAGAUGCAAUUUAAUGGCUAUUAGCGGUUCCUAAAAAUUAUACGACCUCCAAUUUAGAACAAAAAUUUCCUAUAAAUACCUCAUUCUCAAUUCAAUUAAAAUCUUUUUUAAUCUUAUAGUGAUCCUUAAAACAUUAAGACAAAACAGGAGAGAGGCUGAAGUACGUAAUUCUAAGCUGCCUUAAUGUCAAAGAUAGGAAGCUAAAAGAGAGAAGUCUAAGGUAGAUCAUCUUAGGCGGACCACCAAGUGCAAUAGUUUAGUAGUUUCAAUGGGAAGCAAACCGAACAAGAGAAAGAAUUUCGAUCUUCGAUGCAUUGCUACCUUUUAUUUUUUAGGAUUAAUUAAUUAAAAGGGACGAAGAGAUCCCAAAUUUGUAAAAUUAAUCUCUCUCAUUUUUUAACUUGAAAAGUAACUCAUUUUUAAUAUAAAUAUUUUAAAUCUUUUCAUUAUUUACACGUGUGUUUUAAAAAAAUGAUUAUUUUUACAAAAAAGAAAAAAAGAUGAAGACAUUUUUAUCAAAAAUUGGUAUUUUUUAGGUUGAAAAACAAGUAAAAUGUUAGUUUUGUAAAGAAGGGAUGAUUUCGGUUUUCCCAGCUUUUUAUCUCUCAACUUUUAUAAUUUUGGGAUUUUGAUUGAAAUUGUAAAUCAAGACUCAACAAUUGCUUAAGAUAUUUUAUUAAAUUACUAACAUUAUAAAUGAUAAUUGCAACUCAAUUUAAAUUAUUUAAUUAAUAUAAUUUGGAUAUUUUUAAAUAAUUUAAAUUAUUGGAUUAAUUUUAAUAUUAGUUUCAAACCUCGAGGUGAAUGAAAUUAACCAAAAAAAAAAACUUUAAUAUGUGUGCUAUUGUUUCUUUUAUUAUUUUUAAAAUUUGUUGCAACAUUUUUAUUAGUUUUAGUCAAUUCUAAUCUAACGGAUAUUUUUUAUCUAAAUCUUUUCUUAAUAUUUCCAUGAAAACUAAUAUUUUUAUCAUUAGUUUUUAAAAUGUAUCAUACAUUCCAUAGAUCACGAAUCAAUUAUAAUUUUUAUAACAUUAAAUAUAGUAAAUUUUAUUAAAUAUCAUAUAUUUAGUUUACACGUAAACAUAUCUAGUGAUGAUACAAUAUAAAGAUGGAAAUAAUAUAUUUGAAAAAAAAAAUUGUUGAAUAAUCAGAUAAAAUAUAACAAAAUUUUAAUUUGAGAAGUGUAAAAAAAUAAUAAAUUUAAAUUAAAAGAAUUAGAAUGUGAAAAUUCUUGUGGUAAUGACUUUUGGAAUUCCUUUUAUAUGAAAAUUGUUUACUGUAAGUCUGUAAAAUAGUAUAAUUUAUUUACAAUAAGGAACACUAAUGUUAAACAUUUCAAAAUUUUGUUUUAUAGGUAACCAUAAAAAUAAAAUAAAAUAAUAAUGUAAUGUUUGUGGGUUGGCCCAACUCAACUCAAAUCGAGUUGGGUUCAAAUGGAGAAUUCACCACACCAAAUCUCAACUAGAAGACUAUCUAAACAUAAAAAUAAAAAUUUAUAUUAUAAUAAUAAUAAUAAUAAUAAUAAUAAUAAUAAUAAUAUAUUUAAAAUCGGGAACAAUUGUAUUAAAGGGGUAGUAGGAUGUAAUGCCUCUAAAAAAAUAUGAAAUAUGAGAGAUAAAAAUAUUUUUAUUAAUAGCUACAUGGCUCUUAUAGAAUUGUUCAAAUGUUUCAAUACACCUAGUUGUCUCCGAUCUUUGUUUGGUCUUUAAAUUUAGACUAUAUUGUCAAUUAUCCAACUGAGACAUCCAUGUGAGUAGAGGAAAAACUUUUUCUUAUUUGUUUCGUUUGGCUUUUGAAAAACAAAACAAUAGAUUUUUCAUAUCAUAAUCCAUGACCUUAGAUUUUUCUCCUAACUGUAUAAUCAUCCACCAUAUGAUAUCUAUUACUGUUAGAUCUCGCCUUAUUUAUCAACUUAAGAGUGUUUUCAUUUCGUCUUAUUUGUCAACUUAGAAGUUUUCUUUUCAACCAUUUUUUAGAAACACUUGUACCAACUUUUCAAUCUCUUCUUUGCUUUGUUUGGUUGUUGAAAAAAAUAAAUGAGAACGAAAUUUGAGUUUUGUGGUUGUUGUUUGCUUUGAUGUUCGAAAUCUUAAAACUUGAGCCAAAUUAUUGUUCUUUACUCAGUUUGAUAAUUUAGAAAACAAGAAGAAGAUUGAGAAUGAAAUUUAAGUUUUGUGGUUGUUGCUUUGGUGUUCAAAGUCUAAAAAUGUAAACUAAAUAAUUAUGUCAAUGUAGAUUUUUACUGAAUGAAUUAUGAUUAAAUAAUAGUUAAGGCUAAUGAACUAAAUAUAUAAGAGGUGUAUAAGACAAUUCAUUUGAAACGUAAAAAUAUAAAAAUUUAUAUUAUUAAUAAUUUUUAAAAACUUUAUUUUUUAAUUUUUUUUUAAAGAAAAGUCUAUUUAGAAACUUAAAAUAUUUUUAAUCUAUUUUAAAUAUGUUUAUAAAAUAUUUUUUAUUUGUAUUUUUUUAUAUUUAUAUAAUUAUUUUUAAAAUAAUUAUAAGAAAAUAAGUAAAAACAAUUAAAAAAUAUGGACUAGUUUAAUAAUUAUUUUUGAAAAUUGUUCUUUAAAUUUUAUAGAACAAAACUUUGUUUAAAAACCUAAAAUGUUUUUAAUAUUUUUAAAUAUAUUUUAAAAAUAAUUUUUAAAAAUAAUGUUUUACUUUUAAUUAUUCGACAUGUUUAUAUAAUUAUUUCUUAAAAUAGUAUUUACAAAACAAAUGAAAAUAAUAAAAAGAUAACUAAAAGAUCUUCUUUAAAAAUUUUCUAUUUUUUAUUUUUAGGAAUAAAAAAUAAAAAAUAGUAUUUAUUAGCCAAAUAUGUUUUCUGUGGUUUUUUUUUUUUUUUUAAAAAUUGUUAUAAAAAACAAUUCCCAAAUAUAAUAUAUUACUCGGAAACACUUUGUUUUUUGUUUUUAAAAUUAAAAACUCAUUUUUCGUUUGAAAUUCCUUUUAUUUUGUUUUGAAUCACAAAGGUUUUAAAAAAUAGUUGGCAAAAAUGGCUUUGGUUUAUGGGUCCAAUCACUAUCUUGUCCUAACAAUCUCCUUUUUGUACCAACUUUAGACAGACCACUUUAUCCCAUUACUUGGGUGCUUUUCAUUUUUGCCCAGGUUUGUUAUCUAGUCUUUGUAUUUGUUGGUUCGUGAUCACAGCAUUGAGCCAUUGAAUUUAAUUUUGCUUUUCUGUGUACUAAAGAUUCUUGGCUAAUUAGCAGACAAAACAUCAACUGCAAAUUCACUGGCCAUAAAAAACAAACAGUUGCCAGACUACCACCAAUAAUCAAAGAUCCUCUGGUUUGCGGCCAUGAUGGCUACCAGCCUCCUACAAUCACUAAAAUGCUCAUCAACUUUCUGGGGUUCUAUAGAAUGUGGCACCGGAUGAUUAGAAGACAGCUUUGUAAACAGAAGGAUGCAAGAGUCGGUAUUGCAGCUGCCAAACUGGCUAUGCCAUGAAGGAUCCUCGGGAUUACCGUCGGGGUGGUUGAGAUGCCCGCCAAAAUACCAAAAAAAUGGAUUAGAAGUGACAGAAGAGAAAUAUAAAGAAUGUUCAUACAGCAAAUUCAAUCCAUACUAUGACAUAUUUGAUACUAUCCUAGUGACAGCUUAUCGUGAGUAUCAAUCCAUGGGCGUACUAUAUAUUCAUAAGCCCAGCAGCUUGAUAUAAAUCUGCUAUUAGACCUGCAAUACACAGCGGUCUUCUUCCUCUUACUUCGUGGGAUUUUGCACUGCUCUCGAUACGAGCAUGGCUGAUACUUCUUUUCCUCCCAACUUACUGCCCGACGAGGCGAGCCCUGAAUGGAUGAACAAAGGCGACAAUGCCUGGCAACUCACUGCCGCCACUCUCGUCGGUCUCCAGACUGUUCCGGGGCUGAUCAUCCUUUAUGGAGGUGCAGUGAAGAAGAAAUGGGCUGUGAAUUCAGCUUUCAUGGCGUUCUACGCCUUCGCCUGUGUCCUUAUCUGCUGGGUGGGGUGGGGAUAUAGAAUGUCGUUUGGGACGAAGCUUGUUCCAUUUUGGGGGAGGGCUAAUGUUGCCUUGGACCAAGUUUAUCUCCUGGACCCGGCCUUUAUUGGGAAGUUCCCACAGGCGACGAUGGUGUUUUUUCAAUUCGUUUUUGCAGCGAUCACUGUGGUUUUGAUUGCGGGAGCCUUGUUGGGGCGGAUGAAUUUUUACGCGUGGAUGUUGUUUGUGCCCUUGUGGCUGACGUUUUCGUACACCUUUGUAGCAUUUAGUAUAUGGUGUCCAUCAGGUUUUCUCGCUAAGGCUGGGAUUAUAGACUACUCUGGUGGAUAUGUGAUCCAUUUGUCUUCUGGGGUUGCUGGCUUCACUGCAGCAUAUUGGGUAUGGAGGAACCCUAAUUAACCAACCAUAUAUCCUUCUGUUUUUCUUUUUACUCUAUCUGAAAUGAUUUGUGUGAUGUCCUAUACUUGCAGGUUGGUCCUCGGCUAACCAAGGACAGAGAAAGGUUCCCUCCUAACAACAUCCUUCUUAUGAUGGCUGGGGCAGGAUUGCUGUGGAUGGGUUGGACAGGGUUCAAUGGUGGGGAUCCUUAUGUAGUGAGUGUCGAUGCUUCGUUGGCCGUUUUGAACACGCAUGUGUGCACUGCCACUAGCCUGCUCACAUGGCUAAUCCUCGACAUUGCGGUCUUUGGAAAAGCUUCUAUAAUUGGUGCAGUGCAAGGCAUGAUCACUGGCUUGGUUUGCAUCACACCUGCAGCUGGUAUUCCACUGACCUAGGCCUUAAUCUUUUGUUGCAAAUAUGUUCCAUGAUAAACUUCAUUUACCUAGACCCGUGACCAUGUUUGGAUGACAUGAAAAUGAAGACAUUUUUGUAAAAACUUACUCUCAAUGUGUAGAUAUUGUCUGUUUUGGGUCCAAUAUGUCUACAUGUUAAGAGGAGUCCAUAUAUACAUAGUGUUAGAAAUUUUUUAUCUCUAUUCGAUGUGAGAUAUCACAAUCAAUCCUAUGCAGUCACAAUAUCUUUGUUAUAUUUCAUAGGAUUGUGGGAUAAAAAAGACGAACAUCCAACUCAAGCUAAACAAACUCUUAUAUGGAUUGAAGAUCGGUUCUGAUACUAUUUAUAAUAACCCGCUCCCAAUUGUGUAGAUAUUGUCCGUAUGACCUUAAAAUGUAUUAACAAGAUCAAAAAGAACUUACACAUAUAUAGCAACAUAAAACAUUAGACUAGGGAAAAAUUUUCUUAUGUUAUAUGUGUAUGCGCUCCUCCUAGUCUUGUUGGCACAUUAUAAAGUCACGUGAGCUUAUUGGACUCAAAGGCAGAGAAUAUCUACAUGGGAGAGAGAGUUAGUCAUUACAAUUUUACAUUUUAUAGGAAAUUUAGCUCCAUAUGUUGUGCUUAAAAUGUGAAAAUUAAAGCAUACUUACAAGAAGUUAUUUAUCUUUGAUUUAGGGGUUGUACAAGGAUGGGCAGCCAUAAUCAUGGGGAUUUUCUCAGGCUCCAUUCCCUGGUUCACCAUGAUGGUUGUCCACAAAAAAUCUGAGCUCCUUCAGAAAGUGGACGACACAAUGGCUGUUCUGCAUACUCACGCCAUUGCUGGAAGCCUCGGAGGAAUCCUGACCGGUCUAUUUGCUUCCCCAAAGCUUAACCGUUUGUUCUAUGGCUACGGAGUUGAUGUAGAUUCCACUUAUGUUGGCCUAUUUUAUGGUCUUCACAUGGGAGAAGUCAGUAAGGGAUUCAGGCAAAUUGGAAUUCAGCUUCUGGGGAUUGUGUUUGUGCUUGUGUUUAACGUCAUAGCCACAAGCCUAAUAUGUCUUGUGGUGCAACUCAUCGUGCCCCUGAGAAUGUCUGAUGAAGAUAUGGAGAUUGGGGAUGAAGCAGCUCAUGGGGAGGAGGCCUAUGCUAUCUGGGGUCAAGGUGACAAGCUUGAGAACUCAAGGUAUGGGAGUUCAGUCUACGGUGAUGUUGAAUUGCCUAUGCCCAAGCCCAGGGGAGCUGGCCAAGUUGAGAUGACAUGAGACAUGAGAAUGUGUUCCAGGUUUUCGGAAAUUGGCAGACUUGAUCGAUUCAAUAAGAGCCCUUAAAGUAACUUCUGUAUCUGUGAUGUUGCCAAAUCAAUUGAUUGAACUCUGUUUACUUCUUUCUGUUUGUGCUAAGAACUUGCAUGAAUCCUAUUUAUAUGUUCUUUCUUUGUAGCCUUGUUCUUGAAUGAAGUUCCAAUCUCAUUUGCCUUUUAUUUUGUCAACUAAUAAGAAUCUUGAAUAGGGAAGGUCUGAAUUGGUGUAAGUACCAAAAAGGGUGGAAGUUUUGGUAUUCCCUGCCCGCCAAAUGGAAGUUAAGCUUUGGGGCAAUCUGAAGGAAGGUAGCAAUCUUUUCAGGGUUGGGGAAGGUUGGCUACCAAGUACCAAGCAUGGGAUAAUGUCCCAACUAAGGGCCAUCAAGGCCAGAGUCUUGGUGGCUGGUGACCAAAAAUGAAGCAAGGGUCCUUGCAAAAAGGCGCCUACCUAAUGGAUAGUGUGGAGUUAGGAGUCUUAGGACUAACCCAAGAAUAGUCUUAGGACAUGCUCUUUUCUUCCUUGUCUUUAACUUCAAUGAAAAAUUAAAAUCAUUGUCACAAUUUUUAAAGGAGGUUAUUAAUAUUCUAGAAGUUUUAUUAAAUAUAUAAAAGAACUUAGGUUGGGUUUAACAAUAUUAUUAUUUGAAGUGCUAUUUAAAGAAUCACUAUAAUUUUUUUUAAGAAACAUUAUAAACGAUUUUUCAAAAAUUUUCAAGAGUAUUUUUUUAAUUUUUUCAAAUACUUAAGGUUUUUUAAAAGCGUUUUUUUUUUGUUACUUUUUUUUUUUUUAACAUAUAAAAUAUUUGAAUAAAAUUAACCAAAUAAGUAUAAAAGCUCUCAUCCAGCGAAAAAAAUAGCUUUUGACUUCUUAUAAGAAGAAAUUUUUUUAUUUUUUAUAAAAAACUAUUUCAUAUUGUAUAAUUAAUAUUAUUAUUAUUUAUUUCAAUUUCAAUUAAAGCUAAAAAUAAAAAAAAAUCAAAGAUAAUUCAAGAAUCAAUACCAUAUUAGAUUAUAAAAAUAAUCUUGAUGUUUUUUUUUCUAUCAUUUUUCCAUGUAGCAGUUGAUCCAAGCAUAAAUCAGAACAUGGAUUAUUUAAUUAAUUAAUUUAUUUUAGAUAUUUUAUUUAAAAAAAUAUGUAUUUUUAUAUCUCAUAUAAAAAUAAUUACUAAAUUGAAUCUUUUAAAAAUAAUUUAAGUUUUAUAUAUUUAUUAAUCAACGAUAAUAUCUAAAAUAAUUAAAAGUAAUACUUAUAUAAUUAAAAUAUAGUAUUUAAAUGGUCACAAAUAAUAUGAAAUAUUAAUUAUUUUUGGAUAAUAAUUUAAAAACUAUAUUUUAUAAAUUCGGUUCUAUUUUGUGAUUUGUUUUUAGGUAUGGGGUGGAAAAAAACACUUUGCCCUUUUAUUUUUCUUCCAAAUAUAGAUUAGGGUAUCAAACGUAAUAACUAAUAACACCACAUCAUCUAUUUUUGACUGCUAGGGGACGUAGACGUGGCAUCAUCAGGUGGCACCACUCCAUCAAGAAACGCAGAGGGCAAUCAAAGUCAAUUUAGUAAAAUUUAGGGGUGGUUUAGUAACUUCGUUCACCAGUGGAAGCAACCAGGCUCGCUUUAAAGUCUAGGUUUUUCUUCCAAACCCUUUUCUCUCUCAUCGUCACAUUUUCUGUGGAGGACAGCUUCACAGCGUCUCUGAGGUAUAACCCUAGGGUUUUUCUCUCUCUACAACUGUCUUUCUCUCUUGGUUUUUUUUUUUUUUUUUUUUUUUCUCAAUUUCUUGUCCCAUGUUUUCAAUGUACCACUGCUUUGAUCCAACUCCACUUUCUCGCUCAACACUUCGCAAAUUUUUUUCUGUAAUUUUUCUUUUUAUCAUAUUAUAUUAUAUAUAUAUAUUCGAAUUUGUGCAUGUAUAGUUCAUAUUCUGCAGCUGAUUAAUCUGAUAUUGCUCCGUAUGUGUAGUUGGUUUUGAUGCUGUAAUUAUCGGUUUUCAUUUACCAGGGCUUGUGAAGUUGGGCUAGGGUUUAGGGUUUGUGGUUUUAUUCAAUUUUGUAGUUUAUUACUUUCUCUUACUCGUGUCUAUUUAGAUCUAUUUGUUUUUUCUUUCAUUUUCUCUAGUUCGAAUUCGUUUGCUGAUCUUAAUCCUUGUCUUUUUUUUUUCUUUUUGAUUGUUGAUGCCCUCUUCAUUCAUGUUGGUUUUGAAAAAAAAAAGGAUGGUGAGAAUUUUGACUUAGUGUCUGCCUUUGUAUUGUUUUGGUCAUAUGGUUUGAAAGAAUGCUAGAAUAUUUUAGGAGAAGCUGAUUGAUGGCUAGGUGAUGUUGGGAUAAAAUACUUGCUUGGCUUAAUUAGGUCUUGGUGUCUAAAGAAUUUAUGCGGAAUGCUGCUCUUGUGUAUUUUGAGGGAUUAUAGGGCGGUAUACUGCCUUGAGACCUGGCUCAAGUGGUAAAGGUAGGGGAGAGUUUGUAGAAGGUUCCAGGUUUAAGUCCCAACGGGGAUAAAAGAUUUUACCUAUCAGAAAAAAAAAAAGAGGGCAGUGUACAGGAAGGUGAUCUGUGGUGGGUUUAGGUUGGGUCCAAACCCAUCAAAUUUGUUUUUCUUUAAUUUUAAUUUUGCUUCUUUUAUGUUUUUGUUGAACUCUAGCCUUCCUUUUUUACAUUUGUGGUUCUUUUCAACAAAAUUAUUCUUUUGUUUUAAAAAUAUAAGCAUUUUUCCUGCAUAGUAGACUCCAUAUCAAAUCCAAUUCUAUGCAAUCAAAUAUAGUGUAAGGCAUUGAUAAAAAAUGGAGGGAAAGAGUCCAAGACUUCGUAACAAAAUGGAGUACUAAGACAUUGCACAUCUUACAGGUUUGCUUGACUCAGUUUACAAUGUUCAUGUGAUGGAGGAAUGUUGUUCGUAAAUUAUUCAAAUUCAGGCAUAUGUCUUCACUAUCUUAAGACAUUCUGAACCAUGUCACAGUAUCUAUGACAUGGGUAUUUUUGUUCCACACAUCUUGAACUUUCUGUGCGAUGUAGUUAUUCUAUAUGCCUAUAACAGAAUUUUUUUGUAUGACAUGGGGUUCAAUUGCCUGACACUUUUGGAAACCUUGCUGAAAGUUGGUUGACAUUUUUUGUUGUUAUAGUUGAGCAAUGUUGCAUUUUUAUCUGCUACCAAAUUAAAUUGGUGGUGCUUAUUGACUCCUGUUUAUUGUGUGGUCAGGUCAUUAGUAGUGGUGUCUUGACUCUGUGAUAUUGGAAAACUAAGAAAAUGACCAAGAAGAAGAAUCCAUUGGUCUAUCUAGAUGUGUCUAUUGAUGGAGAUCCAAUUGAAAGAAUGGUUUUUGAGGUAUUGUUUUUUUUCCAAUCUGAUAAGUGGAACAUCAAUUGAGUUUCUUCUGUCUAGUUGAUUGUAUAUGUUUGUUAUUUGCAUUUAUAGUCUGUCUAUUAUUUUUUAAUCAUUUGCUAUCUUCCCCCAAAGUGAACCAUGAACAUUUAAUUGAUUUCCUGUUUUUCUUUUGGGGUGGGGGUUUGCAGCUGUUCUCUGAUGUUGCUCCCAAGACUGCAGAAAAUUUUCGUGCACUCUGUACAGGUAACAUAUAUGUGAACAAGUAUUUCUAAGAACUGCACCUUUCUUUCUCUAUUUGUAGCAGUUAUUUUUGCUAUUAUGAUUAUGAUACAUAUUAUAAUGUUGUGGUAUUUAAUUUGUGAUUUGUUCAUGAUUCUAGAUGCAUUCUCUGUUUUCCUUUUCUUGCAGAUCUCCUUGUAUGGAUUACUCCGUCUAAAUUUAUAAGUUCAUUUGGGAUUUCUUUCUCCUUUCUUUUGUAGGGCCUAAUUUUCAAGUGUGAUAUUCAUUAAAAAGAAUAGUUGUUUGAUUUCUUUGACUUGUAUUUUUCAGGUGAAAAAGGAAUCGGUCCCAAAACUGGAAAGCCACUGCACUAUAAAGGGUCCUUCUUCCAUCGCAUUAUCAAAGGAUCAAUGGUUCAGGUAUGUUUUUCAGACUCAUUUUUAUGCCAAGAUUUUGGUUCAUAGAUUGAUUCUGGUUCAUAGAUUGAUUCUGGUUCAUUUGCAUGUGUCCUUCAUUUUCUGGUUGAGCAUGGCUUAGAAGUGGUCUUUGUCUUUUAGUCAGUUACCCUUUUUUAUGCUGUAGGAUACAGGGCUGAUGGUCACGACUGCUUUUCUUGUGAUGUAGUUUUAAGGUUGUACUUACUGAGUUGUCCAUCCUCAAAAUUUUUACUAAAAUUCACCAUGCCUCCAACCCAGUUUCAUACGCCUUUUCAAUUUGUUGCUUACCUAUGGAUUAAUGGUUGAUUUUUAUUCUGCAGGGUGGCGAUUUCCUUAGACGAGAUGGUAUGCUUUCUUCACUUGUCUCAUCUGAACUCGAGAAUAGCAUCUUUCUUUGUGUUUGUGUAGCAAAAUUAACGUAUUGGAAGGGAAACUUGUUAAUGUCUGGUAAUGUGAUCUGAAUUCGAAAUUGGUAGGGCACUGGCAUUUUUUGGUUAUCAGUCUCAUUACUGUAAUCUGUUUGGAGAAGAAAUCAGGUUGUGAGAUGGUAUGAAAUGGCUUCAUGGAUUUUUUGGGCAUUGCCAAUUGCUUAAGUAUGGUGAUGAUGGACAAUGCAAGGAAACCACUUUGAAUUGGAACACAUGUAGUCUCUCAAUAUUUUCAAGGCUGGUGACUGACAGAAAUGGUGAAGCUGAUAUAAAAGCUCUUUUUUGUUUUCCAGUGUCUGUUAUAACCAUUGCACCUGUUCUUAUUUCUGGAAUGGGAAAGCAGUUGUUUGCUGAACCACCUUGACCAGAUAUGAUAAAUAAUUUAACUCUCUUUACUAGAAUUUGGAGUGAACAAACUAAAUAUCCAAUUAACAUUAUCCAAUACCACUUCAAUAAUCAACUAUAGUUGAAUUGAUCCAUGCCAAAUUCUAAUCUAUGUACCAUUUUUGGAGAAAGAGCAACCUCAAUAACAGUGAUUUCUUGUAUAGAUCUAUGACACCCAUUUCCCCUCCUGUUAAAGUUGCUUAUUUCAGGCUCAUGUUAGUUGUGAUUUUCCUGCCACUGAACACAUGCCUUCGGCAGUCUGUCUCUUUUGUUUGUGAUUGUGCAUUUGUAAAGAGAGGAAUUUCAGGAUUUCAAGGGAUUUAGAAGUUCCAUUCCCCAAACUUAAAAGAGCUCACCUACUCUGGCUGUAGUCUACACCAGUGGCUGCCCUUUAUGGCAGGAGGCAUCCUUUUCUAGAUUUUCAUGUGUAGUUUGGGUUGUUCUUGUGCUUAAGGAACGUUGUUCUGUUUAUGUUUUUUUUUGGGAGAAUUCAAAGCAGGCUCUUUGUGUGCCCUGCACUCCCUCUGGUGCCUUUUCUUAAUUUAUUCCUUUAUCUAUAAAAAAAAUGGCUAGUAGUUGAUAAAUUUGUUUUUUUAAUAAGGUUCCAUAAAAAUUAGUUGGACUAGGGUUGGUAAAGCUACUUUUUUUUUCUCCUGGGAAAUUUAACCCCAAUAUAACUGUUUUUCAGAAUGUACUUCACUAUUGGUGCCACGGCUAUGAUUAGUCUAUUUUUGCCACUAAAUAUAGGGAAACAGCCAUAACUGUGGAUAAUGAACUAGCUAGGCUGUUCUUCACUAUGUGCUCCUCAAAAUACCUCCCCCCCUUCCCCCACCCAAAAAAAAAAAAAAAAAGAAAAGAAAGAAAAAACCAAAUGAACAUCUUUUGAGUGUAGUAGUAGUUUGAAUUGUUUUGUCCUAGAGGACUUGUGCUUUUGAGGCUUGCCUAAGCUUAGUGAAUUAGCCUUGAGGCUGUCACCUCAGUAAAGGAUAAGCCUCAUCCUAUUGAGGCUUACAACGUUGAGGUUGAAGCCUCAAAUAUCCAAUAGGUUUAAUGAGUUUGGUGUCUUUGUGGGCUUUUGGUAAAUAUUUGUGAGAAGUUUAAGCAAUAAUAUUCAAUUGGUUUUAAUGGGCUUUGUGCUUUUUAUAAGUUUCAUCAUGAGUUGAGAGUAGGUUGAACAUUUUACAAAAUAAGGGUUUAGUUGGCUUCUAUUUGACCAUUUCAAAGGAGGGGGAAAAAGAGAUUGAGAAGAAGAAAUAGAGGAUUUAUUGGUUAAUAUUUAUUUUGUUAGUGAUAAAUAAAGAAGAAUGACCAUUGGAAUUUAUGGAGGAAGAAGAAGAAUGGGCAGAUUUUUAUAUAUCUACGUAUAUUCUUAUUUGCCUAUCAAAAAUUAAAAAAAAAAAAAAAAGAAGAAUAGGCAAAUAUUAACAUUGGUGGGAAGGAUGAUAGGGCAAUUAGAUAUGAGUAUCUACUUGGAGGAUCCUAUUAGUGAUAGUAAUUAGAGUAUUGAAGACUAUUUGAUGAAACAAUAAGAAAAAGUUAGAUUUUAGAAGAGGGAAAUGGGAACUAAAUUAGAACUAUUGAUGACAAAGAGCUAAUUUUCUUAUUAUGAAUUUAUAGUUUUCUUAUUAUUUAAUUUUCAUGUGAUUUUAUUGGUGUUUUUUUAGGUUGAGGCUUACAUCUCUCCUCAUUUGGGGUAAUAUGCUUCAAAACUGCAUUUAGCCUUUUAAAACAUAGGUCUCCAUUAUUCUGAAGUGAAUCCUGCUUGACCAAAUCUAAGGUCUUCCUUACUCCUUUAAGUUUUAAAUAUUUGGUUAACAAUCAAGCAGUGAAUAUUAUUCGGGUAAUGAUUAUUUUUACCCUUCACUUGGAAAGUUAUCAUUUGGACAUAUAAGUGCCAUGGAAGUUCCUUGUUGGCUUUUCAUGUGCUUGGAAAUUUAUUUCUUAAAUAAUGUAUUUUAAUGAAAAAGGAUUGCUUUUUUUGUUUGGCAGG